UACAAUAAGACGUAUAAUAACAUUACUCAUUGCACCAAAUGGAGCAAGGCGCAAAGGCCCCACUUCAAACCAAGAGUUAUUUGAAAAUAAAUGCUUGAUAAUUUAGCAAUGAUAAGGAUGCUUUUAAUAAUGAAAAAUAAAAGAAACAUAGCCUCAAACUAUGUAAUAGCAAAAUGCGGGCAUUCUCUCUAUACAAUUUUGCUAUGUUAGCUGGAACUUAGGAAACCAGGUCACGCUUUGUCCUUGAUGCAUUGUUGGUAAAUUCUCCCCUCCCACUCCUCUGGGUCCAUAGCAUUUUGUCCUUCACAGCCCCUUUAUAGGUUAGAUGCAUUGUAAUUCCUUUAUUUUUUAAAGGACCUGAAGAAACAAUGCCUUGCAAAAUGUUCGUCGUCUCUUCAGUGAUGGAGCCACUCUCUGCCAUCUCUUCUUUUUUGAAGGGAACUGGACAAACAAUGACCAACACCAUGUUUAUGACAUGUUGGUCUACUGUAAUAGAAGUGUAAACAUGAAAUUAUGAAUCAAUUCUGGGUUGUCGUGUAAGUGGCUGACUGGAGUAUCAAAGCUUUCUCCAGGGAACAACACACAACAUGAAUAUCCUAGAUGUGUUUUCCAAGUUAUAGAAUCCGCAUGAGGUAAUCAUGUGAGUCUACUAUAUAGAAAUUGUAGGCAAAAUUCAGCAACAAAGGUAACAUGUGUAGUGAGAAAUUGGAUAACAAAAGAAAUACUUUCAACCAAAUCCAGAGGAACACAUAGUUUGCCCAGGAACUUUUCACUGAAGUAACAAUGCAAUUAUUCAUAGCAUGUUUGUUCUAGAACCAAACUAUUCUUUAGGAAAUUGUGGAGACAAAAUUAUACGAAAAAGGGAGACACUCCUACUCAACCUCGGGAAAGAACCAUCAAUGAUAUUCAGAGUUUAGCCUUCGUGCAGUAAUAACAUGUGCAUAUUCAUCCUAUUUUUCUUCUACCUUACCAAAUAAACUGGCCUCAAUCUUACAAAAAUUAUUUCUUAAUCUAGUCAGCUGCUCAAAUGUAUAAAUUAAAAUUUAAGUUUCCAGCAAUAUAGAAGUCAUCUUAAAAAACAUCAGCAUACUAAAUGACGAUGGAAACAAUAACACACAACCCGCUCACAUGACCAAAAAAUAAGCAAAGUGGGGUAAAGGAACACACAAAUGCAACGCUGAGUAACUCUGGAUGAGAGGACGACCAAUCAGUCAAACAUACAUAGGAUGCACUGAAAUCGGUAAACUAUUAUUAAGCGGAAAGAGUUGUCUAAAUUUCAGAAAAAAUGACAACAGCAUCAACAUGAACAAUUCUAAGAGAAAAAUGAAAACCCAAUUCCUCGGACUUUUUUAACUUUCGGCCAUGUGCAUGUUUUUUAUGCAUUCAGCAACACUAAAAGAGAGACAAAUAUGUGAGUGCACAUGCUUUGGUAUUACGAAACUACACUCAUUUCAGUUAUAGACAAUGGUAUUAGGAAACUUCACUCAUUUCAGUUAUACACAAUGCAGACCAUAAGUUGGCGACUAUACUUCCAAAGAAAGAUGAAAUUUAAAAUGUGGAGAACAAAGUAAAGAGGUAGUACACGGUAUUGAAGCAAGAAAACAGGACAUAGUGCUACUAAUUCGGCUUAUAUGCAUAGCAAAUGUAGCUUAUGUACAGUAGUGGUGAAUCCAUUAUGAACAAUAAUUUAGAUUUAUGCAUAUAGUAAUGCCAAGUUUUGACAAAAUCUGUAAUUGGUAUGAUUUCCCUCCCAACUGUUAUAGAUGAGCAUACUCCUAUAUAGGACUAUUUUCAAAUUAUCUAAAUUAGACCCACAGUAAUAAAACCUAGGGGCAACCUCAACAACAACAAAAUUAUUAAAAAUAAAGACUGCAAGUUAAACAAGCCAGACGCAUCAAAUUUUAUAUCUAGUUCUGAAAUUUUCAUCAUUCCAUAUUAGUCCAGAACUCCAGAUAGUUAGUUAUUCUAGACAAACUAACUCUGCUAAUGGAUUAAAAAAACACAUAACCUUUUUACAAAUGAGUAUAAGGUUUAGUGGUUUAAAUAUUUACUUCAUCAAAUAGUCCAAUACUAAUUGCUCCAAAUGACAAGUGCCAUCUUUUAAUCCCCCUUCCUAGACAAGUGGUAGAUCAUCACACUGGAACUACUAUAGGGCUCAUAGCCUCAUGCUAGAGACAAGAAAAAAUUGUUCUUGGUAAAUUCUCAGCAAACAACUGUGACAUGCCGCCUGAGCACUUCUAAUGAGGGGCUCCAGACCACAGGCCCCCAAAUUCAUUUCUAAAAUUGAGUUCAGUAGCAUGUCGUCGCUCUCAUGAGCACUCCCGUCCAGGUGCACAAAGAAGGAAAACAUGACACUUACAUUAGGAAAUACCUAUACGGUCCACGGUGUGAUUCUCCCUUAACAAUGCAGUAUGGGACCUCCCAAUUUCCUGCACAGGGCUGGGAACCACACAACCAGCUCAACUGGGUCAACAUCAUGAGCGAUGAUGACCAGCUGAGGGUUGCUCUACAGCACAAAACACAAGGAUUAAUCACGGGAAUGAUUAUUGUGGCCACAAAAAGAUGCCAUGAAUAAGAAUUUUCCCCUACCGCAAGCGUUUGCCUGCAACUUUAAACUGAACCAGCAAGUUAUCCUGUCAUUUGUUACAAAGUAAUGCUUAGAAGACUAAUUUCAAAAGGGCAAGAGUCCAAUAUACUUUCAGAAUGUACAGUUUAGAUUAUCUUUUCUAGUACCAAUUCUAAACACAGCAAAACAGUUUAGCUCCUAUUAUUUAAGCUCACAGUAUUUCAACCAAGAAUUGUUCGCAUGUCAUAAUAUCUUUUGUAGUCGUAAUCCCAGUAGUAUUUACUUGCGCAUUUAGGAUAUCAUAGUUAAAGCUAAACAAGAAUUGUCCUAGCAUAAUUUACCUUUCAGAAGCUUACAGUAGUAAUGUAAAUAGAGAUGGUUGAGACAUAAUUUUGUAGAAGAUCACAUCAGAGAGGCAAUAGAUUACAUCUGAAAUCGCCCAGUUAAAAUUAUGUGUCAGCCAUAUGAAUCUCAACACCAAAUAACAAUUAGAAUCUGGACUGAUAGGUCGCUUCUCCCAUUUGAUUUUUGCCUGACAUUCAAACCUAAAACUAACUAAUUCUACUUUAUAUCCAGAGAAGAGGUGAAUAUGACAAUACGAUCUGUCAAACCAGUACACUGACUCAUAGCUCGAUGUCAAAACACCAUGGCAUUACUUAACAGGCAAAACACAAAUGCUUAACACCUGGAACAAGGGAAGAUGAGGAUACUAACCUAUAAAUAAGGCCAUCUUUAUACAACCUGAGAAAAGCUUCAAUUACAGUUUUGACCUUUACUCAUCCAUUGUAAAGGACUGACACACGAGGUGGAAAUUAAGUUGACAUUGGGAGUUGGAACUAUAGACAAUACAUUGUUUAUUUGUUUUCUUUAUUUUUCUUAACUAAGGAAAAUAAGAAGUAUACCUCACGGACCAAUCAAGGGAGGUGCCAAGCCUACAUAAUUGAUUCAGUAUGGCACCACCAAACUGAUCUUUCCAUUCCAGGACCUAUACAAAAGAUGAUAAGAGGAUACACCAAGUGUGCAAAGAAAUAAGCUCACUACGAUUCAUGGCGCAUCACACAUGACACUGCUGAUUGUGAAUUUCAUAAAUAUACAGAACACUGAAUCUACACUAUUUACACCUUCUACCAUACAUUGCCUGGACAAACAAAAGAAAAGGCAACCAUGAGUUAUUUCAACUGGUGUAGGCAAUGUACUUAUAACAGAGCAACAUCACAGCAGUUCUAGUUAUCAGGACAAGACUAAAGUGUAGCUUAAAACCAUAGUUAACUAUAUGUAUAUUUCAGUUACUUAAAAUCAAGAUAGUAGACUUGUUCCUAACCCUUGUUGUGAUUAGUGGCCAUGUGCAUGACUAAACCUGAGAUAAUGAUUCAUUUGCAAAUUCCGCAGACACGUGUAUAUUAAACCAGCAAGUUACGGCAGCCUAAUUGUCCAAAAGCAAGAGCUUAACAUGUUUCCAUAGAUGCCCAAUUCAGGCCGUGCAGUCACAAAUAAAUGUCAAGCAAGAGCUUAACAUGUUUCCAUAGAUGCCCAAUUCAGGCCAUGCAGUCACAAAUAAAUGCCAUGCCAGGCUCUAGAAAAUUUGAUAUUAAGUCAUGUCCCAUGAUCUUCUUUGUAGUUUUAACUUUAAUGCCACAAUUAUUUAUCCAAGCUACGACAUUGGAAGAUUAUUGUGAAUUUCCUACCCAAUUAUAAAGUACUAAAGAUGGUCAUGUGAGUCAAUUAUAUAUAUUGUAGGCAAAAUUCAGCAACAAAGGUAAUAAGCCUAGUGAGAGACUGGAUAACAGAAGAAACCCAAUCAACCAAGUCAGAGACAUAGAGACCAUGUUCAGGAACUUCUCACUAAAGUAACAAUUUGUGCCGUUUCAUAUUCACAACACACUAGUUGAAUAAGUUCCUGUAAAAGAUAUCUAAAUUGUGUAAGGUUGCCUAAGUCUAGCCAAAAUGAAAGAAAAAUGUGCAUUUACCAAGCAUGUGGUAAGAAGAUAAGAAUCCACCUCGGAUAAAUAAGACACUCUGCAAGAGAAAGGAGAAUUGACCAAUUCAUGCACAGACAAUCUGAGAAUUGCUCCCAGCAUCAAACACGAAGAUCUGGAUGGCACCCAGCACCUAUCCAUCCUUACGAAAACCUUAAAAUUACAUUCAAUGUCCAAAGGGGGGAUAACAACCAGUACUUGUACUUACCAAGACCAAAAAGAGGCAACAAAAAAGACAAGGCAAGCCGAGCAUCUGUUUUAAUAAGUACACAUCAAAGUAGCAAGGCAAAAGUUGGUACAUCUUGGUUAUAGUUUUCAUCAUCAGUGGGAAUAUCAUCCCACAAUAAUCAGACAACAUUAUUAACUCUAUGCCCAAACCAUAUUGCCAUCAGUCUUCAUGUAAGGCACUUUUCGGUUUAACACGUGGACUGGAAGGCAAUAUAAGCCAUUCUCUGAACCUUCAUGCAAAAAAUUAAUCAUCCAAAAGUGGAAGUGGCUGACUAACAGCACAUAGUUGACCAAUUACACAUAGCUGAAAAACAGUACUAAUUCUACAAUGGUAGAUCGGCACAUUUAUCUACCAAAUGGUAUGGUAAGAACUGGAUAACAUGAUAAAGAUAAGCAGCUAAAAUUGUAUAAGUUAUGCAGCUCAAACCUUCAAAAUAUUCAGUAAACUGAUGUACUGAAAACAAUGUCACCUUUGCUUACCUAAUUUAGAUCAUGCCAUCGAUCCACAUAGCAAAGAUCAAUCAUGCCACUUGUCGAAAUGAUGCGGCCACUGCCAAUAGUAAAGCUCUCUCCACAUAUCCCUACCGAAGUGAAAAAUAAGCAAAUUAAAUUUUCUGUAUAAAAUCACACUCAAAUAAGCAAAUUAGAGGCAAUACGCACCAUACCUUGUGGAGCCAAGAGAUGGAGACGUACCUUCCAUGGCUUGAUCAGAGAGCAAGCCAACAAGAGGAGAAGAGAAAGUCCACAACAUGCAAGCUCAAGAAGCAGAGCUCAUCGUUGAGGCGAGGAAGGAAACAAAUCUGUAUCCCCAGUCGCGUCGUUUCACAACGCGACGACCACAGGCAUACCCUCGUUCACCCUUGCGUUGUCGCCCUCUUCCUUGGCCUCCAACCCAUCACGGUCGCCCUCUUCCUCGGCCAGUUCCACCCCCGUGCCAUUGCCCAAUUCCUCGGAGCGAGGAGGAGUGAGGGGGGAUUGGGAGACAGGAUAGAAAACCGGAGGCGGGCGUCCCUGUGCAGCGCCGCCGCUGGCCGUGCCGGCUUCCCUCGCGACUUGCUCCUCCAGUCCUCGUGCAAAGAGAUGCGGUCGGGUCGGCCUGCUCCUUCCCCUUGUCCCCGACUGCUGCGCUGCUAGGCUCAGCAACAAGGACACGUUGAGGAGGCAAAGACGGGCGGCGGACCUCCUUCAUCUCUGUUGCAGCUGCACCCCACCAGAGCUGCUCUUCUCCGGCACAGAUCCGCCGUCUGUGUGCACCUACGAUGGUGGAGAGGGAGUAGGAGGCCCGGGCGAGGCUCCUAGGGCGGAGGCCACGGCGAGGAGCGAGGAGGAGGGAGGGGUUGUGGGGAUGGGCCCUGGCGAGGAACGAGGAGGAGGGAGGGGUUGUGGGGAUCGAUGAGGAAGGGGCUAGGUUGUGUGGCGGCUGGUGUGGAGCAGGACGGGAGAGAAUGGGAUUGGGCACAGGUGCGUGGAGCGGAUUGGCAAAGUUUUUUGCACGCGGCGCGGCACGAGCGGCUGCCUCGCGCCCCCGCACCAGGAAAAGCAACACCCGGCCGUUUCGAUCCAAGUGGCCACAGCACCGGCCCACACGUCAUGCCUCGCCACGAUCCACUGAUCGGUAAAAAUGAGUGCGCAGAAUUCCAGCGACGAUCGAACGACCAACGCGCGAAAAAAGAACUGGUCAACGCCGGUCGAACGGCCAAUGAAGGAUGCCAUCGGGGGAGCUCCUGGGAGCGAGUUGCCCUGCCUCUGUUUUGUUUUAAAUUUUCUAAAAUAGAGAUGGGUAAGAAACAUGUAGAAAAUAUGAUCAGCAUGCUAUAAAAUUUCAUGAUGCAAGGAUACACACAUGCUUUUUAGAAUGGAGUUGACAUAUUUUUGCUGGACUGGAGCGGACUAGUUCUUUGGCCACUGGAAUCUGCUUAUUAGCAGUAGGAGUUGGGUUUCUCUGUGCUGGAGCAAUAUCUAUAAAAACUCGAGUUGGUUUAUUAUCUCCUGGCUUUUGGAUCUUUUGCAAAGGUCUUGUUUGUAACCCUUCAGAUUCUAACAUAGUCGUCUUCCCCUUGCAUGCCUUGUAUAGAAGAAUGGUGCUUUAAUUAAAAAACAUGCUACAACAGAGAGAUGAAAUAGGUACUGAAGAAAAAGAAAGGCAUGACAUAUUGACAUGUAUUCCUUCCAUCCGGAAAAGAAUGGAUGGGUCUAGGCAUAUUUCAGUUCUAGAUACAUCCUUUUUUAUCCAUUCCGGCAACAGGUAAUCCGGACGGAGGGAGUAUGGUGUAAGGGCUAGGGAUACGACAGGACAACACAGCAAAAAAAACUAGUUGAAUGUAAAACUGUAUGCUAGUGGAAUACGUACAGAAAUAACUAAGGCAACAUACACGUGUAUGAUUGGGAAACUAAGAUGGCAUUCCAACAGAACACUAGAACAGCACUUCAAUGUAAAAAAACAUGGUAUGGUAGACAGAUGCGGUACAUACUGAUGAAUAACAAUGCAUAAGAAAUUUAGAAGCAUGAUGUCCAAAUUAAGUAGAUGGCAUUGCGAUAGAGUAGAAUGACUGUACUUGAAUUUGAAAACAUGUUAUCAUGAAUGGAAUAGGUACUGAAAAACAGGAAGGCAUGGCAUAUUUAGAUGCAUGAUCAGUAUGCUAAGCACAUAGCAUUGCAAUAGAGAAGAUACACUUCAGGACAUUAUAUGCAUGAUGUACCCAUAUUGAUAUGACCCCGUGCAAUUUAUCUAUGAUGGUCGCUACUGAUAAAACGAAGUCUGCACAGAUGGCCGAAUAUGGCACUAGUAUUGUUCAAGAUGAAGAUAUAAUUGUUGUAUCACCAAGAUUGAAAAUAGAUGACACAGAAUGUACAAGACUCCAUGAAAAUUACUAGUAGGCCUAUAGGAGCACUUGUAUGCAUGUGCGUACGGCCAUGCAUGCAUAGGAAGCAUGAAGUCUUGGUGAGUCACGUUUGUGGAGAUAUUUUGGGAGGAGUUCAGUUUGAGCCAGCAAAGGAAUCCACAUGCAACAUUGAUCAAUUUCAGUUUGGGCCAGAGAUAAAUGAGUUCUCGUGCAUCCAUGGGAGAUUAGUCAUGUACGCAGCUAACCACCAGCAAGGAGUUAUAAAAAUAUACAAGUUCCAUCUGGUGCGGCCACCUGACAAAGAAGCAUACUCGUGGACAACUAUGAAGAUUAGAGACUUGUAUUCUUUAAAAGGAACCGGGUGGGGUCCACCGGUGAAUUGCAACAGUCACCAGCACCAAAUAACAAGUCGUACUAGUUGUUUUUGUUUUCUAAGAUUUAGUCAAGUCAGUUGUUAUGGUCAAGUUUGUUUUCCUUUUUGGUUUAGGGGUGCGGUUAGCUUGUUGGUCAAACCAUGUACGGGCCAGCUAUAUUAUUAUAAAAAGCCAUAGUUCGGUCAAUGUAAGGCAGGUUAUAUUUUUAUGAUUAGACACGAUGUGUUUUUAGGGUAAAUACCCAUAUUGAGUUUUGGGGGAAGCUGUCUAAAAAUCCCUAAGUUUUGGAGGAAGCUUUAGAAAACCUCUGUGUUGCGAUUUCUCUUCGUGGAAAUUGUUUUGUGCGUGAGUACCGUCGUCGAGAUUGGUUUUCUCGUGCUGGACCGUAAGGUUCAAUCCCUCUACUUCGCGUACAUCGCGUGCGCGGGCGAGAGGCUACUACUGCUGAAGGUGGAGUGUCGUGAAAGGUCGGGGUGCAACAACAGACCGGAACUCGCCACGAGGUUCGGUCUACAUCAGGUGGUAUUCAGAGCAUCAGGUUGUUCACGACACUAUGGAAAAGAUGGCGAGUGUAUCAUCAUUCAGUAAGCUAAGCUAUGGAUUUCAGUUGGAGGAGAAAGGACGCCGGGUCGGGCUUUUUCACACCCGUGUGGUGGUGAGGGAGAGAUCAUGUGCCAUGACGAUCGAUCACAUGAAUGUGGUCAACGCCGCAAGCAUCGAGAUGGUUGAAAAGCUGAAUUUACCAAUGGUACCACGUCCACAACCAUACUUGUUUCGUUGGGGUCAUGAAGAGCUCACUAUCACGCACCAAACCAAGGUACCGUUUUUGUUGGAAAAUUAUUUUUGCGAGGUUUUGUGCGAUGUGAUUCCGGCACCAAUGAUUUCAUGUCACUUGUUAUUGGGCGAGCCAUGGUACAAAGAACAAGAUGUUGUGUAUGAUCGCAAAACACACAGAUAUACCGUCAAGAGGGAUAAGAAGUGCAGCCUCGUGCCAAUGGGUACGGAGCAUUUUAUUGCUUGGAGGAAAGAACAUAUUGUGAAGAUGAAAGAGCUGGAAGAAGCAAAAAAGAAGGUUGGAGCUGUUGAUAUGUCUACUGCCUGUGUUCAGCCUGGAGAUAAAAAUACUACUAAAGAGGAUGACUCAAAACCGAGGACGGCUUUGAUGCAAGGAGGAGAGGAUGAUAUGACCCCGUGCAAUUUAUCUAUGAUGGUCGCUACUGAUAAAACGAAGUCUGCACAGAUGGCCGAAUAUGGCACUAGUAUUGUUCAAGAUGAAGAUAUAAUUGUUGUAUCACCAAGAUUGAAAAUAGAUGGCACAGAUGCAUUGAAGUAUAUACAUAUUGAUCAGGAAAGUGUGAAGAAUGUACAAGACUCCAUGAAAAUUACUAGUAGGCCUAUAGGAGCACUUGUAUGCAUGUGCGUACGGCCAUGCAUGCAUAGGAAGCAUGAAGUCUUGGUGAGUCACGUUUGUGGAGAUAUUUUGGGAGGAGUUCAGUUUGAGCCAGCAAAGGAAUCCACAUGCAACAUUGAUCAAUUUCAGUUUGGGCCAGAGAUAAAUGAGUUCACGUGCAUCCAUGGGAGAUUAGUCAUGUACGCAGCUAACCACCAGCAAGGAGUUAUAAAAAUAUACAAGUUCCAUCUGGUGCGGCCACCUGACAAAGAAGCGUACUCGUGGACAACUAUGAAGAUUAGAGACUUGUAUUCUUUAAAAGGAACCGGGUGGGGUCCACCGGUGAAUUGCAACAGUCACCAGCACCAAAUAACAAGUCAUACUAGUUGUUUUUGUUUCCUAAGAUUUAGUCAAGUCAGUUGUUAUGGUCAAGUUUGUUUUCCUUUUUGGUUUAGGGGUGCGGUUAGCUUGUUGGUCAAACCAUGUACGGGCCAGCUAUACUAUUAUAAAAAGCCAUAGUACGGUCAAUGUAAGGCAGGUUAUAUUUUUAUGAUUAGACACGAUGUGUUUUUAGGGUAAAUACCCAUAUUGAGUUUUGGGGGAAGCUGUCUAAAAAUCCCUAAGUUUUGGAGGAAGCUUUAGAAAACCUCUGUGUUGCGAUUUCUCUUCGUGGAAAUUGUUUUCUGCGUGAGUACCGUCGUCGAGAUCGGUUUUCUCGUGCUGGACCGUAAGGUUCAAUCCCUCUACUUCGCGUACAUCGCGUGCGCGGGCGAGAGGCUACUACUGCUGAAGGUGGAGUGUCGUGAAAGGUCGGGGCGCAACAACAGACCGGAACUCGCCACGAGGUUCGGUCUACAUCACAUAUCACAGGCCAAGUUAGAGCAAGGACCUUGUGGGGUGAAGAGGAUUCAUCAUCUUUCUGCAAGUCUUCUGAAGAGCUGCCUUUACAUGUUUCAUCAUAUUGGGUAUCAUUGACAUCAAGUUUAUUGGCCUUUACAUUGCACCGUGAGGUCUUGUGGAUAUAUCAGUGUGUGCAAUUAUAUCUGACAUGCAUGAAAGACACCUAGUAGUUAGAUUUAUGUAAUGACUACCUAUAGGAGACGACAUAAAUAGUAGGACUGGGGUUAACUAGCAGCAACAGGUCUCAUAAACUAAAGGGAGAACACAGAUGAAAGCUACAGAAUAUGUAUUGUUUGUACUCGAGAUUAACUAGAUGGCACACAAAAGUAUUAAAGAACAACAUAGGUAAUACUAGAAGUGGUAUAAUACUAUAAUCCCCAGCCUGUGGGAUAGCAUUGGAUGAUGGAUGGUAACUAUGGAACAACGUUACCUGAAGAACAAGUAUCUUAGCUGAACUAUGGAACAGCGUUAACUCCUGAACAAGACCCGUAAGAGAUUAGCAUGAAUAUAGAGUGAAAUGUGAUGAUCUAUUUUCCAUGCUUAGAUGAAUAAUAAAGCCAUAAAUGUUGCACACAAGUAAGAUGAGGGUACAACCUAUCUGGUUGCCAUCCACAGGAGUGAGCAUCAUGUGCUGACUUGUCGAUGGCCCUGAAGUUGUUGUGGCUGUCCAUGUCGGGCACGCGCAUUUGAUGUAGGGAACUGUUGAGUGGGGACUAUAGCUCCCUUCUGGUGUAUGCUUCCCUUGUUGGAUCAGCUACGGUGAGUCGGAAGACGGUGUGUCUGACGAUGCAGAUAACACAUAAUGUUAAGAACAACAUAUCUCUUUGAUCUGAAGAAAUACACUAAGAGAUCAACAACAAGGUACGAGAGUGGUCACACGUCUGUUGACUGAAGACAAAAUUGGGGUCACGUGAUUUUAUUUUAUUUUGGUACUGUUCGAUCUACGCCGGCUGGCUUGAUGGCCGUCUUGUGCCUCCCGGCUGACACUGUUCGGAAUCUUCCCCGAAGAGCCAGCGACCAAUGGCAGAGCAGCCUGCCUCCACCGUCCGUGGCCCCAGCCAAAACCCCUCUCCCCGCCCCACCGCACUGCCGUGGUUGCGCUGCCCCCGAGCCAAUCCACAAAGACUCCCCGUCAUCCAGAUCCGGCGGCGGCAGUACCUUCAACCCACGCAACUCUAAAAGAUAGCCAUCAAAGCGCCGCUUCCGCGGCGAACUUGCGGCCGCGCACCCUUACGUUAGACACCAGCCAACCGGCAGCCUAGGUGCUUCGCCCCCUCGAGGGGUGCUGUUUCCCAUUGGGAAUCGAUUGGCCCAGAAUAAAAAUUCAGACAACUGACGCCUAAAUAAAGUGAUUUGUGAUGAGGGUGCAACCUAUCUGGUGGCAUGGUGAAGUAGGUAGGUCCAGUUGCCUAGUCAGUGAGGCCGACGCGGUUGCGGUGGCGACCGGCGGCAGGGAAACAACGAUGUCGCGAUGGUCGGCGACUACGGGGAAGCAGCGCCGGGACUCUGGACGGAUCCGAAGUUGGAGCCGCUCCGGCACCGUGAACAACGGCGGGGGUGAAUCGGCUCUGGUACGGUUCAUGCGGCCAUCAUCGAGGCAGCUCUAGCAGCACGGCGUAAGAGGCACACGGCCCAGUGCAUGAUGGCAAAUGGACAGCGUCUCCGGCAUUAGGGAGGAGGGCGGCUGUGAAAUUGGUGCGGUGGGGGGCGCCAUGGGGGAGGGGCUGAGGUUUCGUGGCUCGGGAGAAGGGAGCUUCCCGGGAGGCGCGGGGGGGAUUGGGAGGGGAGUGGAACCAUGUCUUACGGACGCAUUUGUCUGAAAUAUGAGGGGGAGUUGCACUUCUACCCCUGCCUUUAGACUUCUCGGCUUGGGUCCAUGUACUGAGGGUCGGGGUUAGUAGAGUAACUUUGCUUCUCCCCAAAUAGUGGGUGGGAGUGAUUUCGGGCGAGAAGGGUGUGUUUUGAAAUAUAGUGGGCACGAGCGAUUUCUGGCGAGAAGAGUGUGUUUUGAAAUAGUGGGCGCGAGCUAUUUCGGGCGAGGAGAGCGUGUUUUGCCGACCAUGGUUUAUGAAUUAUUCGGCACAUGUCAUUUCGGCCGAGGAGAGGCGCGCUUGGAUGAAGUUACGAACCUACCCUCGAUGUACAACGGCCCAAUUGAUGUGUGUCCCACAUAGGACGGUAAUUUCGUGUCUUCCAUUUAUUUUCUUGGGCGAAUUCCACCGAGCAUAGGAUGUUUAACGGUUCAUUCAAAUUUUGGGAGAACGAGCAUCCACAUCUACCUUACCAAGUCGAUUCAUAUCAAAUUUUGAAAUAUUAGCUUGCCACUUCUUUUUUAGAUGGAGAGAUUAUGCUCGGGAGUAAUGUGUUUUUACAUGCUCGUUGCUAGCAAUUUUCUAUAUGACAAAUAGUUGACCCACUCAAAAACGCGAAUCAAACCCAAAAUGAAAUAUCUCGAUUCAAUGAAAUAGCUCAUUCACUAGGUCAAAAUAGUGAACUAAAUCCAAAAAUGAACACCUCAAUCGAGUAGCAUGUUGUACAGUAUUAUAGUACUCCAUGAACAUGUUGAAAGUCAAAUUAAUGAACUUGUUUGAUAUACGCAUAUAUCCGCUCAUGUGUGGAUUGCAGACAACAUGUUCUCCAAUUUAAAUAUUUGAAUGCAAGUUUAUAUCGAAACAUGGUUUAUAUCAGUCUUUGAUGCAUAAACGCGACCUCCCCCUCUCCCGGACUCCUGUUCUCUCUCUCUCUCUCUCUCUCACUCUCUCAUCGAUAAUCUUCAAUUUUGUCGCAUGCAUCAGACACAAAAACCUUGUUGGUCCCUCUCCCUUUCUCUCCAUCUCUCUCUCUCUUUUUGUGUGUGUGUGGGGGGGGGGUCUUUCUAGUUUGCAUGCAUAUAUACACCAUCUAUAGGUCUCUCUCGCACACUAUGUAUGAUACUCUAGCUAGUCCAAGCUAGAUAUCUUGGGUGCACUCAUUGUACGCACACAAAUUCCUUGGCUCGUUGGCUGUAACUCUCUCAUGCACCACUCUGUCGUCUCGGAGCUCUUCCCCCCCUCUCUCAAACUCUUCAUCCACCUGGGUCACACAUACACAUGCAUAUCUCACUCGCACUCGAUAGGCCCAUCUAAAACUCUAUCUCUCUCCCUCGUUCUCUCCCCAUAUCACACGCACACACACACACACAAUCUCAUGGCUAGCUAGCCAAGUAUGAUGGUCUCUCACUCAAUUGUAGGCACACGCAGUCCCCCCUAUAUGUAUAUGACUAGCUAAUCUUAGUCUCCAUCACAAACAUGUGCGUGGUCUCUUUCGAUUCUCUCGGGGCAACUUUCUAUCGCGCAUGCACCUCCCUCGAUCUCCCACCCAUAUAGUCCCCUCAUGAUCUCAAGGGGAUCUCUCUAUCACAAACACACCCUGUCUCUCCCUUCCCAUGCGUCCAUGUCCUCCUUGUGUCCCUCUCGAACUUUCUUCCUUGUUGACCAGACCUCUAUUGGACAUGUGCUACAGGGGUGUCUCUCUCCGUCGCAAACAAUCACACACUAGCUAUCUUCGUGUAUCUCCAAGCCUCGCUUUUCUAUCUUGGAGAUGCAUGCGUGAUAUGUUCGCAUAAGAAACGAAAAAACACACAGCCUCUCUAAUUUAUCGUUUGUUGUUACUUUCUCUUUCACGCACAUACUCUUUUUGCACACUUACUCAUUCUCCUUCACACCCACUUGAUCUGUCUCAACUUAGGCACUCUCCUUGGUCCAUAGCAUAUAGAUUUAUUGAAAAGUCAAACAUCACAAAGUUUGACCAUGUACGUGGAGAAAAACAAUUACAUCUAGAACGACAAACAUAUACCAUUAGAUUCACCAUGAGAUGUAGUUUUGUAUGAUGUAUCUUUGGUAUUGUAGAUAUAAAUAACAUUUGCGUAAACCUGAUCAAGGUUUCCAAAAUUUGACUUCUAAAAAAUUUACAUGCACUGCAUUAUCGAGCGGAUGGAAUAUCUCUUUCCCCAUCUCAGCUAUCUGACGCACCACUCAGCCUUAUCGGGGAUCCUCAAUCUCUCUCAAACUUUAUUAGUCAGUUUGGUUCGUGACCUGAGCCUCAUGCCUUGAUGGCCAGUACUGCCUGUUGUGGACGUGAGAUGUAAAAUAUUUCUGCCUGGCCAGGCUUGUGUGGUGCUGAAGCGUUUGGUUCAUGCCUGGGUCAGGCAAAGCAUCAACGUCCCAUCAAUCAAUCCAUGCAACAAUUAUUUAAUGCUAAUAUCCAUCCAGGUUGCUGUUAGCCUCGUGGCCGCACGACCAGGCACGGCCAGGCAUUCGAAAUCGGUUACCUGGGCUAGGCUACUUGCAGUGUCUGGAGUCCAGCCAGGCUAAUUAAAGUGCAAGGGAAUCCAGGCCAGGCGGGCUUUCUUUUUCACAGGGUAGCAACCAAACAAGCAUGCAUGAAAUCCAGCCACAACCCUAGAAUAGGCAAAAGAUGCUCAGGACGCAAGCCAAACUGACCUUAUAUCUCCUUGGUUCACACAUACACAUGUCUCGCUUGUGCUAUACAUAUAGACCCAUCCAACACUCUCCGCCCUUGUUCUCUCUCCAUGUGACACGCACCCCCCUAAGUACCAUAAUCCCUCACUCCAUCAUAGGCGCAAGCACUCCUCCCCCCUCCUAAGUAUGAUUAUCUCUUAAUAGCCAUCAGGAACACACAUAUUGUCUCCUUCCAUCCAUACGUCUAUCUCAAUAUCUCUCGGGGCAUCUUCUAUCAUGCACACACCUUGUCACUCGAUCUCCCACCCAUGUAGUCCCAUCACGAUCUCCAGGGGAUCUCUCUAUGACAAACAUACACUCUCUCCUCCCCAUGUCUGUAUUUUCUCCGUACGUCUCUCUCGACCUCUCUCCCUUGUUUAUCAUACCCCUCUUGGCCACGUGCUAUGGGUCUUGCUCUCUCGGUUCCAAACAACCACACACUAUCUCCUCACCUUGCCUCCGUUGUCGAAGAUGCAUGUGAGAUAUGUUUGCAUAAGACACGCAUGCUUUUUCUCUACUUUUGUCGUGUGUUCUCCAUGUCUCUUUCACACACGCACACACACUUUUUCACUCACUCUUUGUGUUUCUCUCUCUCUCUCUCUCUCUCUAGUUAGGGAGUCUGUCACGUCCAUAAGCAUAUGGAUGUUUUGAAAAGUCAAACCUCAGAAAAGUUUGACCAGGUAUAUGUGGAGAAAAACAUUUAUAUUUGGAACGAUCAUUAGAUUCAUCACAACAUGUACUUACUUCAUACUAUCAUUUAUCUUUGGUAUUGUAGAUAUAAGUAAUUUCUUUAUAAACUUGGUCAAAGUUUCAAAAGUUUGACUUUAAAAAAAAUGUUGGAACUACAUUAUUGAACGGAGGGAGUAGCUCUUUCUCUCUCUCUCCCUCUCUCUCUCUCUCUCUCUGCUAUCUCUCACGGGCCUCCCCUCUCACUCGAACUCUCUAUACCGACGGAUUAUAUGCUCACUGUGUCAGCGUAUAGCUCCGUAUAUUGUUUAGUCGACCGUCAACCAGUCCACAUGCUGCCUUGUCAGCUCGUGUUCUGUAUCUUCAUGUGCUGGCCCAUGUGGCAGUGGGUGAAAAUAAGUAAACUAGAGGCCCAUUUGACAUGCGGUGAAGUAAACAAAGUUGAAACCACUCGGGGUAGCACCCCGCACGCUAGUAAAUUGAGGGCCCAUUGAGGACACACUUCUUGCGCGUGAAGGACGCACUCGUGCACAAUUCACCACUGCACGGCGGCAUGCAUAGAAGGGCGCACUCUCGCACACCCAGCACACGUGUACACCGGCGUCGCCGCCGGUUGAGAUGGACGGCGAGGAAGCCAACAAGAGGAGGCAGAUUGAGCCAAAACAGCAUCCGGCAAGCCUGGACUUCAUCAGCAGCCUCCUCGACGACAUGCUGCUCGUCAUCACCGGCGUCCUCCCCACCAAAUCUGCCGUGCGGACCGACCUGUUCUCCCGGCGGUGGCGCUCCCUCUGGCGCCGCGUCCCCCUCAACCUCACCGUCGGCAUCUGCCUCAGCAAUGGGGAUUGCAAAUGCUUGGCCGCGGUCUCCAAGAUCCUUUCAUCGCACCCUGGGCCAGCCAGACGCCUUGACAUCCGCAUGUUCAGUACCAACUACAAGGUCCAACCCAAGUUCUACGAGUGGUUCUUAUCCCCCGCCCUAGAUCAGCUUGAGGAGCUCACCUUUGAAGCUGGACGAUAUCGCUCUCUGCCGCCGUCCGCGCUUCGCCUCACGCCAACGCUGCACCGUGCCAGCUUCAGCUCCUGCUAUCUUCCCCAGAUUAAUAUCGCGCCCGCCCUUCUUAUCCCUCAACUCAAGCAGCUCGACCUCUUCGAUGUUGUCAUCUCGAAGAAGGCUAUGGAGCACCUGGUCUGCAGCUGUACUACGCUCGAGUUCCUUCGCCUUGAGCAGAUCCACGGGUUCAUUAGCCUCCACAUCGCCUCGACGAAUCUCCGAUGGAUUUAUGUGUCUUGCUGGCCCCGCAACAAGACAUCAAUUGGAAAGAGAUCACUCCAGCUGUUCCAUGUUAUGGUCAUUGAGAAUGUGCCUUUCCUUGAGAGAUUGCUUGUAUCGGAUCUAGAAGGUCCAACAAAAAUCAGGGUUAUUGACGCGCCGGAAUUGAUAGCAUUGGUGCACUCGUCUGCCAAAUUCUCUGAACUCUUUAUUGGAUCUGUAAUCGUUCAGGUACAACACUCAUCUUCUUCUCCGUCUUCUUGAAAUUCACAUUUUAAAAUUUCUUCUUGAUGUAUUUACGACCGUCUUCCAGAAAAUGAUUCCCACAAGCUUGACCCAGUCCAUGCGCACAGUGAAGAUCUUGGCACUAAAAUCUAUCGGCCCCAAUCUGGAUCAAGUUGUUGGAUUCCUUACAUGCUUUCCGUGCACGAAGAAGCUACUCAUUGAGGUGAAACUUCUUUCCUAUUAGUAAACGGUAAUCACAACGUAGCUCAAUUUUUUCGUCAUUUUCCCAAAUUACGAUGACAAGUGUAGUGUUCAAAACUGCAUCUACGCACUGCACCGAAAGAAAUGCUUUUAGUAUUUUUUUUCUCACGUGAUCACCUGCAUCGUUUUUAUGUUGUACUAGUAUAGUUGCCUAGGCUAGUCAUAGUGGAAAGUAACUUAGACUACUCCAGUAACUCUAUGGUUACCCUAAGAGCAAGUACUACCUCCGUCCUGGUUUAGUCUUCCAAUUUUGUAGUAUCAAAAUUUGACCAUAGAUUUAACUGACAAAAUGUUAAUGCAUGUCACUAAGAACUAUAUCGUUGGAUUCGUAUUUGAACAUAAUUUCAAAUGGUGUAAUUUUUAUUGACAUGCAUUGGCAUUUUCUUAGGUAAAUCUAUGGUCAAAAUUUUAUACUAAAUACGAGGUAGUAUACAAAAGUGGGCUAUGUAGGCCAAAACACGUGCCAAAUUCACUUGUGAUGCAUUUGGCAUCGAUGCCCCUCCAUUGCUCACCUGGUGCCCCAAUCUGGAUCACCUACUUUGCUUUGAUGCCAAAUUAACACGCAAUGAAAAAACACUGCAUGGGAGAGAGAGAGGACUGAGGCAAUAAAAAACACUUGUUUGAGAGAGUGAGAGGCUAGUGUAGUUGGUUUGAUUGAUUUGUUUACACAUGUGGGUCUGUGUGCACAGCGGUGCCAACUCUCUCACAUCACGAGAGCGGUGCCAAAAUCUUUUAAUUUGACAUCGAUGUGUAUUAUGUGGCAUACUUUUGUGAAAUAUGGCAUCGGCCACAUAGUGGAAGGCAAAAAAUGCUCAAGCUCUUCACGUGCUCCUAGUUAAAUGAGAGCAAACAGAAAGAGAGAGAGAGAGUGAAAAAAUAUCACUAGCCAGCCAACCCUAUCGUAUGAGCGAAUGAUAUUGGUACCUCUUGAUGAUACGGCAAUCUUAUAUAGCCAGCUGCUCUAAUAUGUUCUCUUCUUUUGCAGAUAAAAAAAGACCCGAAAGUGAAAAAUUUGCUGCACUAUAACAAUCUCAUCGAAUGCCUUGAUCUCCAUCUUACAGAAAUUGAUUUGAUCGACUACCGAGGCAGCACAUCUAAGAUUAAAUUGGCCAGGUUCUUUGUUCUGGAGGCAAGUGUGCUCAAGGUAAUGAGGUUUGGCGUUCUUUGGUGCCACAAUGAAUGGCGUGCUGAUCACCGGAAGCGUCUAAGACUAAAUGACAAAAUCUCCGCAGAAGCUGAAUUUGUUUUUGAAACAUCAAGUGGCCAGACACUCAAAAACUUAUUUGCCCAUUAGUGACUUGUCAGGGUGGUGGAUUUUAGUUUGUACGAUAAUGCUGCAUCCACCUACAGUAACAAAAGUUCUUACGUAAACUUCCUAGUAAUUCCUUCUUCGUAGGUGCAGCAUUACUCCUAACAUUUGUAAUAUUAGUUUGAAACUUGUAACAUUGCCGUGUCCUAUUCCUGCGUUUUCAAAAUCCUGCGAAUCAAACAGGUCCUGAGUUGAUGAUGUUGUGCCUCCCAUCUUUCACCAAUAGCCGUCGGAUCUAGAUGUGACGCAUACAAACCAAACUUCUCCAUUUUUGCAAAAAGAUGCCCGCACUUGUUCCCUAUUUACAAACAACUCCUUGUCUCUCACAAUUAGCCUUAUCUCCUCCCCACCACAUCUAGAAGGCUAUGGAAAAAUCUGGCGCGAUGGCCGCUGUCGGCGCCGUCCACCCCCAAUCUUGGUGUUCCGUGCAAUGCACGGGCAUCUACGCACGGGAAAUUAUGUCGAACAUGGCUAGUUGUAAGCAGACUAGCUCUACAACCAUGAUGAUAGUGACUGCAGACGAUGAGGCUGACUAUGGUAUGCCGAACACGGCGCCUAUACUCAGGUGUCAUCUCCGGCGCGGGGUUUUGUCACUUCACUGUGAGGAGCAGCACGUAAUAAUUUGACCAAUGGGUAGUAUAGUGCUAGUACUCCUACUACAUUGGUAGUACUACUACUAGUACUAGUAGCACCACCGUCUGGAUUUAGGAGUACUACCACGUCCAUCAGGAUUUUAGUAUUUGACUAGCAAUAUCUAGUAAUGCAUGUCACAAAAAAUGUACUACUCCCUCUGUAAAUAAAUACAUGGUGUAUUGUUUUAUUCCUAUCGGCGAGAGAACUUAAUGUCUUUUUGCUAACUAAUAGGAUUACAUGCAAUGAACUAAACACAGCAUGUCAUGUUUGGUAGUCUCAAGUCAUUGAAAGCAUGCACGGCCCACAUCUCUCAUUGGUUGAUAUGUCAUGAGAUAAGAAACGAGGAGGGAGUUAAUGUACUGUGCCUAAGUGUUUUCAGAUUAUUUGGUUUUCGUAAGGUGACUUACACAACAUUUUGUUUACAUGCAUUAACAUUUUAUUAGUUAAAUCAAAGGUCAAAACUUGGCGCAAAAUGCAAAGGGGACCAAUAAACCAGUAAACAUCAAACUUCUCUUGUUUGGUGCCAACUAGAGGUCCGGUGAGAUGACUAUACUACACUGGCACGGAGGGGGACGCAACUUCAUUGACUUACUGCAACUGCCUUUGGGAGAAUGACAUGUGGGCCCAAGGGGUGGCUGGCCCACCUAUCAUACAACCAAAGGCAGGUGCUGUAGAGGGACGAGGAGUAGUACGAAAUCCUACGCAUGCUAACCAAGGGCAAGAGUGAUCACUUGAAUCGCAAGAUCAGUUGACUAGAAGCUAAGCUAUACCCAUGGAGGCGAUGAGCACGAGCAUUAGCCGGCUGUGCCAGAUGGUCCAUGACGCCGGCCUGCGGCUCGGCACCAAGGAACGGCUCCAGGUAUUGUUUGAGGCCGCCAGGGUGAGGGGCCGCUUGGAUGACAGCUUCGUCUCCUUGUUCGACGAGGUCCUCGUCGGUUUCCUCGACAAGUUCACCAUCGUCAAGAAGCUCGCGGACGACUUUGACGUACGCCUCCAGCCGACGCGCCCAGGCUCUGCGAUGCCCGCCACCCUCAACGGCCACUAUGGUGACAACCUCUUCGAUGCACUAGUGGCCCUGCGACUACUCGCCGUCGCGCCGGACAAUGUCCACCUCGAGGUCGCACUCGCCACGCAACGCCUGGCGCAGCAAGACACCAUCAACAUAAUCACCCACGUCUACGUGCAAAUCAUCCACAAGGACUACUACAUGCAAGAGGAGGACGGUAGGACGCUGGCCUUCUUGGACGGCAGGGCAACCUUGGACGGCAUUGUUCAGAAGCACAUUGAGCUCGCCGCCAACACCGCUGCUCCUCACACGUCGGUUGGUGACCCGGCGCACUAGGGCGUGAGGAUGUCGUUGAUGGAUCCGUAUGUAUUUUUAUCUUUCCGUCAAAUCCAUGUAGUAGUAUAUGGUACUACUAGUAAUUAUCUAACCUUCCGCAUCAACUUGAUAAUUUUUGUACGUACUCCAUGCAUGAACAGCGCCAGAACCAAACUUCUCAUUACUCUAGGCAAAAUCGUUAUUUUCUAUCUAUCGGUCGCGCCAUGGAGCGGAACCAAAUUUUACAAGUUACGAGUUCAAAAGGAAAAGCAUGCCAUGUUCGCGUCGCACCCCCACACGGUUGGUCCGGCACGCCGCUCAAGGGGGAAUGCGUGCGGUUUUGCAUUUUCACUUACAAUUGGGACCGCAGUUGAGAAAACCAACUAUCGGCAAACCCCCACUCCACCCACCGUGCGAUGGCUGAGAAAACAGGAGGGAGAAGAGAUGGUUGUAGCAUGGACUCCAAGAAAAUUGGUGUCGGAUGGGACUCGUGUGGGUGGCGUGUGUCGUACUGCUAGACGUGAAUGCUAGUUAUGGCCCAUGCCACCCCACUAUAUCGAGCCUAUAUCGAGGUACGUAGAACAAAUUUCCUGGAGUCCGUGCUCAGCCCUCCUCUAUCUCUCUUCUCAGCCCGCCAGCGGACGCGCGGAGCCCAUCGUCUGUUUGCUCACAUGCGGUCCCACAUGUCAGUGAAAACGCAAGAGGACCCAUUGAAGCUGCACAUCUUUCACCUCGACAUGCUGGUGAUGAAAAACAAAUCCAAUAAAGAUCUUCGGUGGCCGCUUUUGGAGUUACUCAAGAGUAGUAAGAUUCUAUUUACAGUUUAACCCAAGAUGCACAUCACGUGGCUUCAACUACCACUCUAUUUUCUUGUGUGACACGACCUGUAAUGCUGGAUGUCCCACGUGUCGGCAAAAGGAGGAAGAACCCGACCAAAUCUUCGGUUGUGCUCUCGGAUUAGACUAGUUGUGCUAACUUAAAAAAAUUAUUGUGUGGAAUGGAUGCAAGUUUUGGUAUUGGGAAGAAGAGUACAUCGAUAUAUUGAUAGAGCGCAAUUUAGUAGAUGUUCUAGCACUUUUAGCUAGCAUAGAGGCUAGAGAUGAGACUAGUGCACUUGUUGAUACUCCUACUAGAAUAGAGGCUAGACAUGAGACUUGAUGCGAGGAAGCAACGUCUACUUCUUUACACUCGAAAAAGAAAGAAGCACGCAAGAUCGAGCCUCCGCAAAUCAAGAAUGAAUGCAUCGAGAAGGCACUAAUCCAACUUACAGGAGCAGUUAUGGAAGUUGGAUAUCUUCUAAAAUCUAUUCUUGUGGUUCUUGUUUUAUUUGGUCUUGCUUUUCUAGUCAAAAUUAUCGUUGGAGUUCAUGCAAAACGGAGGUCUGUUUGGGGUCGUGCGUUGGAGUUGGCCUAACAAGUGGGACCGCAGUUGAGGAAACCAACUAUCAGCAAACCCCCACCUCGCCCGACGCGUGAUGGCUGAAGUUAGAGAAACGAUGAGGUUGAAGAGAUUGCUCUAGCACGGACUCCAAGAAAUAUGGUGUCAGAUGGAUGUCGUGCUGGUGGCGUGUGCCGUACUCCUGGACGUGAAUACUUGUUCUGGCCCAUGCCACCCUACUACUCCUACUACUUAUAUAGUACUCCUACUAGUAGUAUCGAGGAUUCGAGGUGCUGGUUACGUACAGCGAACACUAACAUAUGGCUAUAGUAAAAACACCCGCCCGACGCACGAAGCAUGUGAAGAUAGUACAAAUAGUGUACUACUAUUGUUGAUUGGCCUCAUCCGAUAACCUGUUGCAAUGCACGUAGAAUUAUGUAUUCGAAAAAUAUUUUUUUCCUCGUCGCACCACUCACUCAGAGAAGCGACUCGAAAGUCAUUCAUAAAUUUAGUAAGAUUAUCACAGGCAUAUCAUUUUAUUACAUACAACAGGUCAUCAACCCACAUCGACAACGAGGAUAUAUUAUAACUACUGAAUUUUUCAUCACACAACAAAUAACAACAAUGAAAUGAACUUCAACUCAACCAAUCCUCGGCAUUGGAAAUGCUUGCUUUGAACUACAAGUGAUUCUCUGGACGGGCCAUCUAUUGUCAAUCUGGAGACCAACGCAGGACUGAUCGUCCAGGCUGAAGCAGCCUACUAUAUCAGUACCAGGGCAGGGAACCACCCAAAUGUCCGAGGUAUAGAUAUAGUUGCUUCUCAUAAAUGGUACUAGUAAUGUUGUGUCAACAGCAGUUGGAUCGCCUUUCACCAUCACCGGAUAGUUUUGUCCAAGGAAGAGCGAGUUUUCUCCAAGACUAUCAAUUUUGUACCAGGGAGAAGGUGUUGGUGCUAGCACACUAGUAUCCAUCCCGAAUACCAUGCAACGAGUGUUGGAAUAGGUCCGGAGAGUGCGACCAUGGGAGACAACACGUGCUCCCUCAGUAGUAACAAACUCAGUGCGCUGUAUACAGACAAGAAGAGGUGAUCCAUUGGAAUUAGUUGCUAGGCGCCACUGAGUAUAUAAGUUCUGCUCGUCCUCAUGCUCGUGAUCAUCACCAUCGUCAUCUCCCCCUUGGUUAUAAAAAUUUUCAAGUAUAGGUGGUGGAAUGUUCAUAGGACCUUGGAAACACAAGAAGAAGGUUAAUUAGUAAAGGGAAACUUGAUAACCCGCAUGCAUGCGGAUUAAACAAUUAUAAUUACCGUGGAAGACAAACGUGCCGAAACUACGAGGAUCCCAUGCAAAAACAGUGCCAUGAGUGGUGGAAGCAAACACAAGACCCUCGUAUUGAAUUGCAUCACAAUACACAUCCAUGUAUAGAAACUGAUUUUUGAGCAAUAUCCAUCGAGUCGGACCACAAAGUACGGCAACAAGCUUGUCGAAGACAGCAACAACUUCAUAGUUCUUGUAAUUCCAAGAGCGGUUGGGAACUCGAAAAAUUGCUAUCUUCCGUAGAAGACAGUCACCAUGACGUAUUUGAACGUGCAUACAAUACCGGUGUGCUCAACCUCUGGACAGUCUGCUGACAUUUUUCGAAGUGGAACCCGGUGACGAUGUACACAUUCACAAGUUCCCACUCGCAGUUGUACCCAAUAUAAACAACCCAAUAUCCAUUUGCGCCUCCCUAAUCCUUGCCCUCAAGCGAUGGCAUCUUAACAUCAUAUGUAUCAUUAUCAAGCGGCAUCAACUUGCACAAGGCGAGGCCUCUGUCGUCCCCGCGCUAGUCAUCAGGGUCACGGCAAAGAAGAUAGGGGAGAUCAAACCGCUCCUUGACCCUUGGGUUCCUUGUAAUGAUGUUAUUAGUUGAGUCGAGAAUGGUCUUGAACGAACCUGCCAUGCUAGCCGAGGUGAUGACGUUGCACCGAUCAAUGAGUUCCUCCACCAUGUCAUCUUUCAGAUCGGGGCAAGAAUAAUGGGGUCGUUUCCGGCCUGUUCCCUCCAUGGAGAAGACGAUCUAACAAUGGCAGAAGGAAGGGUGAAGGCAAAUGGAGGAUGGAGAGGAAGAGCAUGCGACAGCAGUUCCAAAUCAAUAGGGAAAGGCGAAGAGUCGGUGGACGGUUGCCAGUUUCCCACGGUACACGAAGAGGCGCCCCGGCCUACACGUCUGUUCGGAAAUACUAGUAGAAAAGGACUCGUCGUCGUCUCACUGACAUGUUGGAAUGGGACCACAUGUCAACGAAACAUGGUGUGUAAUUUCUCGUGCAAAAUGUGAUAUGGCCGCGUUGGCCCGAGGUGCCACAUUAGUUAUCGACCUUUAUUUUUUUAAUGGCGUGCCGUUCAGUUUUGAAGCACGACUAACUGGUACUAUGCGCAGAGAAAAUAUAAACUACUCUACCACUACUCCACCUCCAGUACUAGUAGUAUAAAAAAGAUAUAUAGGCUGGAGCUUCAGCGCUUUCUUGCUAAGGGCUGCCCACUUGCUUCUCACACUAUCACCCUCUCUCUAGAUCUAAAAAGACGGCCUCUCUCUCCCUCCUCACCGGUGGUCACAGAUCCGUCGGGGAAGAAAAGGACGUGCAACAUUGACGCACUCGUCGUCGGUGAGCGAGGUCACGCACCGACGACAGGGCCGUCCUCUCAGACCUAGCGCCCGCGCGAGAUGGUCUCCGUCCCGAAGCUCGCUGUCGUAGUGUGUGCGGAGGACGACGACCACAAGCGAAGCCACUUUCCGCCGACCCUCAGGUAUGCUACCGCUUUUCGAACCAUACCCUUGUUCUAUUGCCCCAUCUGCCACGUCGUUGCAUGUGGAUCUUUUUCCACUCCACCAUCUUCCCAGUUUGCUAUCCUCUGCUCUGCUGGCCAUGCAGACGAAAACCAUAAUUUGCACUAUUAAAGGAAACCCUACUUCAUGCAGACUAAUCCGUGUCUGGGUUGAAAAAGGAAAGGAAGGGAGACUUUACUGUCCAAGAGAGUAGGCAUCGAACCCGCAUCUAGGUUGAAAAGGGGAAAAUCAGUAGCUAAGGAACGAGCCUCGUAUCUCUUGGUUGAAGAAGGGUAGAAAGGCAUGACAACGCAAUAGAGAAUGACCAGGUCAAUCGGUUUGUUGUCCUCACAUAGGAAAAAGGUGGCUAAAGAGAACAAAAAUGGGACGUAAUCCACAUAUGCUGCCUGGAUAUUUGUUGCUCUGAGCAACCAUACCUCCUUCACCACUCUGCGUCCGUGGAGGUACAUCGUACUGGUGCGCCCACUGUCCGAAUGGGCCUCCCAUGCUCUUAUUGCCACUUUUUUGCUGUUAGUAUAACGCCAGCAGUCAAGUCAAGCAAUGCUACUGCUAAAGUGAUGCCACAUUUAACUAAUGUCGCUCUCAGUCUAAUGCCACCGAUACAUUUAAGCAAUGCCAUUUAAUGUCACUGGAUUAUUUCAGGGUUAGCCGUUGAUUGCACAGCCAGUAUACCAACGAUGAAACUUGUUACUACCUUCAGAUUUUUGCACUAGUAAUGCUUAUAGAUUACAUACCUCACUUUCAUGAAAUAAGUUAAUUUUUUUGUACAGUGUCACCAAAAUGCCAAGGCGCUGAUGUCAUUUUAUUUUGGUUAAACUGCACAAAAAAUUAUGAAGACAAGAGGAAAGGUCAAGAGUGGGCACCUCCUCCUCCGGCUGUUCUCUUGAUUCGUUCGAUCAAGUUUUUAUGUUUGAUCGACUAUCAAGAUUGGGAUAGCAAUUUUUUAGGUCCCCACGAGUUCGAAAUGAUAUUUACCUUGGAGGUACAUGGUUUGCAAUUUUUUUAUACUGUCAUUAGUUAAUAAUGCUAGUUACCUUCAGACUUUUGUAUUUGGUUUAAUGCUCAUGCACAGCUAGUAUACCAAUGUUGAAACUUGUUACCUUUACAUUUUGUAUUAUUAAUUCUUAUAGAAAUCUUCCAGUGCUAGAGUUUAUUGAAAUAUGUUCAGUUAAACCAUUGUACUGUACCCUGUAACUAACUACUCUACUGUUGCACUAGCCAAUGGAUCAGUGUAUAUUUGUAGUAUUCGAAUGGUGUUGCAUCAGCGUAUGGACAUAAAUAAAGUGUGGCAAGCUUUCCCAGAUAUGUGCUCAGGAAAACUACUACCUGUUUUUCUAAAUACUAGACGUUUGGGUACUUUAAAUUGAACCGGCGAAACAUCUUAUAUUCAGGAACAGAGGGUAUAGAGUUCACUCAAAUUAUCCCGGUAAAGCUAGUCACACCUUUGUUAAAAUUAAUGUUGAUUAUGUUAUCGGAGGAGGUCUGUAUGUUUGUCUCUAAUGCCUGUCGACUACAUACCUAACAUCAUGAUGUAAUGUUAAGUCAUUUCCUUUUGUAUAGUGUCACUAAAUUGUCAAGUUGGUGAUGGCAUUUUAUUUUAGUUGAACUGCACAAAAUAUGCUUAAAAGAAGAGGAAAGGUCAGAAGUCGAUCAUUCUUUCAAAAAGAACUAUAUAUGCCUUUCUGAUAUCAGUUGUUGUUGCCUUAUUUAUUCCUUCAAACAGGUGGUUAGAAACAGUCUUGCUACCUUUUCCAUUAAGAAAUUGGAAUGCUUAUAUUUGUGAGUCUAUGCUUCAACUAGUGUCGUUUUUACAGUAAUCACACUUUCAAUAUAUAUGCAAACAGGGAUGCUCGAUUUUAGUGGAACUGCACAAAAAGUCCAACUGGCUGAGGGUAUGUACCAGUUCCGGCACCCUGUCGAAGGGGGAAUCCAUCACCGGUGGCCAUCUUCAUCAUGCCGGCGCUCUCCAUGACGAGGAGGGAGUAGUUCACCCUCGGGGAUGAGGGUAUGUACCAGUAGCUAUGUGUUUGAUCUCUCUCUCUCUCGUGUUCUCUCUCGUGUUCCCUCUAUGGCACGAUCUUGAUGUAUCCCGAGAUUUUCUAUUGUAGUUGGAUCUUAUGAUGUUUCUCCCCCUCUACUCUCUUGUGAUGAAUUGAGUUUCCCCUUUGAAGUUAUCUUAUCGGAUUGAGUCUUUUAUGAGAACACUUGAUGUAUGUCUUGCCGUGUUUAUCUGUGGUGACAAUGGGAUAUCAUGUGCCACUUGAUGUAUGUUUUGGUGACCAACUUGCGGGUUCGGCGCAUGAACCUAUGCAUAGGGGUUGGCACACGUUCUUGACUCUCCGGUAGAAACUUUGGGGCACUCUUUGAAGUACUUUGUGUUGGUUGGAUGAAUCUGAGAUUGUGUGAUGCAUAUCGUAUAAUCAUGCCCACGGAUACUUGAGGUGACAAUGGAGUAUCUAGGUGACAUUAGGGUUUUGGUUGAUUUGUGUCUUAAGGUGUUAUUCUAGUACGAACUCUUGAAUAGAUUGAUCCGAAAGAAUAACUUUGAGGUGGUUUCCUACCCUACCAUAAUCUCUUUGUUUGUUCUCCGCUAUUAGUGGCUUUAGAGUGACUCUUUGUUGCAUGUUGAGGGAUUGUUAUAUGAUCUAUCUAUGUUAUUAUUGUUGAGAGAACUUGCGCUGGUGAAAGUAUGAACCCUAGGCCUUGUUUCUUAUCAUUGCAAUACCGUUUACGCUCACUUUUAUCAUUAGUUACCUUGCUGUUUUUAUUAUUUCAGAUUACAAAAACCUAUAUCAACUAUCCAUAUUGCACUUGUAUCACCAUCUCUUCGCCGAACUAGUGCACCUAUACAAUUUACCAUUGUAUUGGGUGUGUUGGGGACACAAGAGACUUUUUGUUAUUUGGUUGUAGGGUUGUUUGAGAUAGACCAUCUUCAUCCUACACCUCCCGCGGAUUGAUAAACCUUAGGUCAUCCACUUGCGGGAAAUUUGCUACUGUCCUACAAACCUGUGCACUUGCAGGCCCAACAACGUCUACAAGAAGAAGGUUGUGUAGUAGACAUCAAGCUCUUUUCUGGCGCCGUUGCCGGGGAGGUGAGUGCUUGAAGGUAUAUCUUUAGAUCCUGUAAUCGAAUCUUUUUGUUUCUUGUUUUAUCACUAGUCUAGUUUAUAAAAGAAAAUUACAAAAAAAUGGAGUUAAGUUUGUCUCAUACGCUUCGUCUUUUUAAUAUCUUUCGUGAGUAUGAUGGAAAGGAAAAUUGUGCUCAAGUGCUAGAAGAAGAGUGCAUUAAAAUGCUUGAUACUAAAUCUUUGAAUGAUGAGCAUGAUUGCAAUAUUGUUAGUAUAAACUCCUUGAAUAGCCAUAGUAUUAAUGAUGAUUGCUCUAGUCAUGAGGAAAAUAUCUCUUAUGAGCAUGUCAACUUUUAUGGAGUACAUGUUUGCAUGAACACACCAAAUAGAGAAGAUAUUUAUUGCAAGAGGCAUAAGCAUUUAGAAACUAAAUGGUUGCAAGAAAGGCUAGAUGUGAGUGCUAAAAAUUUAAAAUUCCUUUGCCGUACUUGCGAACUUUGCAAUGAACGUGGUCAUUUACAUCUCCAAUGCAAAUUGUUUCAUGACUGAAUCGUGUCCAAAAAUUGUGAUGAUUUGAUUUCCCUUGCACAUUAUAAUGAACUUAGUUUGUUUUUGGGUUAUGAAGAGUUGAAAUGUUUAACUAAGCCUAUUCCAGAAUUUAAUCUUCAGCAUUUCCUUGAUAUUGAUCAAGAAAAGAUUUAUAUGUUUUGUGCGGAGAAUUGCAUUGAAAAUCCUUAUAUUGCCAAUUACCUAAAGAAAAGAAAGCAAAUAGAAGAUGAUGAGAAUACUAAUGAAAGGGAAGAGACUUCCCAAUAUCCUCCUAUUAUUUCUUGUGAUGAAUUAGGUAACGAGGAGGAGCUUUCUAUUCAACCAAUCUCGUCAACAUGGUGCUCAAAGAGGAAGGUUGAACCCACACAUAUUGUGAAGAAGAAAAACAAAAGAAGGAGCAACAAAGGUAGAAAGGUAUCCCUCCCAAAUGAUAUUGCUCCUACUACUCAUUGUGAUGAUGAUAAUUGCUAUACUAUUGGUGCUAUCAAUAUUUUUAAUGAUGAGAGUGAUUAUGCUUAUGAUAUGAAAGGGCCCAAGCUUGGGGAAGCUAUGUUUGAUGAGGAUGAAAUAUUUGAGAAUUUAUUUGCUGAAAUUAAUGUUUAUCCCAAGCUUGGGGAUGCUAUGUUUAAUGAAGAUGAUACUUUUAGCAUCCCAAGUUUUGAUAUGCAAAGUCGUUAUGAUGAUAGCAUGCCUCCUACUUAUGAUGAUUAUAUUGAUGAAAGUGGGUUUGGAAGAGUGUCAACUUUAGGAAGUAGUGAUCCCACUAUUUUGUAGGAUGUUGAAUUUUAUUGUGAUGAAUACGAAAGUGGAUUUGGAAGAGUGUCAACUUUAUUUAGUGAUUCCACUAUCUUGGGAGAGGUUUCAAUCGAUUAUGAUGAGAACGAAGUUGCUACUUAUGAUGAUUAUUGUCAUGAAACUUAUGCUAUAAAAAGUAGUGAUGAUUAUAUUUAUAAAACUUGUCAUGAUUAUGAUUACCCUUUUUCUGAACAUUACUCUUUUAAUGUGCAAACAAUUUUUAGUGUUCAAGUCUCUUAUGAUACUCCCGCUAUUCCGAAUGAGAAGAAUUUUGCUUAUGUGGAGAGUAGUAAAUUUUCUAUGCUUGUAGAUCAUGAAAAGAAUGCUUUAGAUGUUGGUAUAUUGUUGAAUUCAUUCAUGAUGCUACUGAAAAUUAUUAUGAGGGAGGAACAUAUGCUUGUAGGAGUUGCAAUAAUGUCAAAUUUCCUCUCUAUGUGCUUCAAUUUUUGAACUUAUGCUUGUUUUACCUUCCUAUGCUAGUUGAUUAUUGUUUCCAUAAGUUGUUUGCUAACAAAAUCCCUAUGCAUAGGAAGUGGGUUAGGCUUAAAUUUGCUAGUCAUAUGCUUCAUGAUGCUCCUGUUAUGUUUCAAUUCUUAUCUUUUAUGUGAGCAUCAUUGUCUUCAUCGUGCCUAGCUAGAAAGGCAUUAAAGAAAAGCGCUAGUUGGGAGACAACCCAAUGUUUAUCCUUACUGUUUUUGUGUGUCCACAUGAUUAUGCUACUGUAUUAAUCAUGUUUUAUAUCUUUUGUUUCAAUAAAGUGCCAAGUAAGACCUUUAGGAUGGCUUACAGUAAUAGUUGUGUUGAUCCUGCUGAAAAUCAGAAACUUUUGCACCCAGUAAAUUAGUUUUGUUAUCUCAAAGAAACGUGCUUCUGAUCUGAUUCUUUUUGCUAUGGAUUGGUACGCAAAUUGCUUAGGACUUCCUAAUUUGGUAGGAAUUUUGGAGUUCCAGAAGUAUACAUUUGAUACAGAUUACUACAGACUGUUCUGUUUUUUACAGAUUCUGUUUUCUAUGUGUUGUUUGCUUAUUUUGAUGAAUCUAUGAGUAGUAUCAAAGGGUAUGAACCAUAGAUAAGUUGGAGUAUAGUAGAUAUUACACCAAUAUGAAUUUAGAAUGAGUUUAUUACAGUAACUAAGUGGUGGUUUUAUUUUCUUAUACUAAUGGAGCUUACGAGUUUUAAGUUGAGUUUUGUGUUGUGGAGUUUUCAAGUUUUGGGUAAAGAUUCGAUGGACUAUGGAAUAAGGAGUGGUAAGAGCCUCCUGCAAAAAUUAUUUGAUCCUCUAUUCGGAUUUUCUUUCCGAACACCGGACAGAGUUUCAGGGGCUACUGUCUAUACAAUGACAUCCUUUUUGCAUAGUUGCAUUGCUUACCUCAAAGCCUGUUAGAAGGCUUGUGCAGGCUUCGGUCAGUCCGCUCUUUGCGGACUGGAUCCUCUCAAUCACCGUACCCAUAAGGGUACAGUGUUAUUCAACAAUGGAAGCGCCUCGCAGUGCUUCCAACAAAUUAUCCGGUGCCUCUGGAUGGACAGAGGUCACCGGUGGAGUAGGCGCACCUCCUUCUUUUGAAGGAGGCUGCUUGCAUGAUUCCGGAGCCGUAGAGGUCUCCGGAGUUGUAUUCAGCUGGGGGUCGAGCUGAAUAUGGCCCCAGCGCCAGUCUCCAUGGGGAUUUGCUCCCCCGUGUGUCCGGUGGCUGAGGGUUCACCCUCUGGCGCCGCCCGGACGGCCUCCUGAACCUCUCCCUGGACAGGGAUCCUUCGGGGCAACACCUCGGUGUCCUCCAUGGCCUUGGGAGAAGAGGUCGAUGGAAGGGUCCCACUGUCCAUCGCCUCCGGGUCCAGCGAAUCCCCCGAAGAUGAGGAUUGCUUGAGGUUGGACCGAGGCGGACUGCAAAUACAUGAUUCAACACGUUAAAACAAUGAAGUAGAGAGACCGCAUAUAUGAAUGUGUCCGAGUACUCACGAUUUGGCCAGGGGCUUCUCCUUGGGCCACCACUCCGAGCUCCUCUUGGUGGCUGCGGUGCAGCUGUCCGGAAGGGAAGCUUUCCCCUUCUUGGACGCCUCGGCCUCCAGACGCGUGGAGGCCGAACUUUUCUUUCUCCCCCACCCCCCUCAGGGGGAACGACUUUCUUCUUCUUCCUCCUCUUCCUCAUCUUCCGCGGCGGCGGAGGAAUGAGUCCCAGCGUCUUCGGAUGUCAUGUCCAAAGUGCCCUUGCGACGGAGACCACCUUUGGUCCCGUUGGCCCUCUUCUUGGCCUUCUUCUCCGGCACUUGAUAGGGCGCCGGAACCAGCAUCUUCGUCAGAAGUGGGAUUUCUGGGUCUUCGGGCAGCGGAGCCGGACACUGAAUCCGCUCCACCUUCUUUGUCCAGGCGUGAGAGAAUUAGUAGGGAGGCUUAGGCAUCUUCCUUGAAUAUGCAAGUAAAGGACACACCUUGAAAGCAUGAAAAACUGACCGGACUAGCUGGAUGGGCCAAGUCAUGCCCACGGUCCUCGGUCAUGGCCGACCGCGUCUCGUUGGCCUUGAGGAGCACUGUCGGUGUCAAAACCGGCGGAUCUCGGGUAGGGGGUCCCGAACUGUGCAUCUAGGCGGAUGGUAAUAGGAGACAAGGGACACGAUGUUUUUACCCAGGUUCGGGCCCUCUCGGUGGAGGUAAAACCCUACUCCUGCUUGAUUAAUAUUGAUGAUAUGGGUAGUACAAGAGUUGAUCUACCACGAGAUCAGAGAGGCUAAACCCUAGAAGCUAGCCUAUGGUAUGAUUGUUGUUCGUCCUACGGACUAAAACUCUCCGGUUUAUAUAGACACCGGAGAGGGCUAGGGUUACACAGAGUCGGUUACAAUGGGAGGAGAUCUUCAUAUCGUAUCGCCAAGCUUGCCUUCCACGCCAAGGAAAGUCCCUAUCCGGACACGGGACGAAGUCUUCAAUCUUGUAUCUUCAUAGUCCGGGAGUCCGGCCAAAGGUCAUAGUCUGGCCAUCCGGACACCCCCUAAUCCAGGACUCCCUCAGUAGCCCCCGAACCAGGCUUCAAUGACGACGAGUCCGACGCGCAAAUUGUCUUCGGCAUUGCAAGGCGGGUUCUUCUCCAGCUCCAUAUACUUGUAGAAUAGUGUCCGGCUUCUGAUAAAUGCUGCGCUCCUUGGCUUCCACGUCCAAUAAAGGCCAUCUUCCACGUGUCGAACGAAUGCGAAAAGCCAGGGUAUUUUUACAUUUCCCCCCUAGCUGCUCAAAUAAGUUGCCUAUAUAAAAAGAGACGAGGAUCUAGAUCCAAACCACACCAUCUCCCCUUCCCAAGCUUUCAUCGGAGCGCUUCUGACCAGAAAAUCCAUUCCAUCAUGGACAGCCGACGCGACUCCUCUUCUCGCGCUCCCAGCCCCAAGCCUGGGUAUUGGGAUAGAUGAUCUGUCCCGCAUAGCAAGCUAGUAGUGCUUCAAUCCAAGGGGCUACUCCCCCCGGCAUAUAUGGUCCCAGUUCGAUCCAGGAUUGUCACCUAUGGCGGCGGAGAGCAGGCGGAGAGCGUCCCCAAUCCCUCUCAAGGAGAGCGGGUGUGCCUAGUUCCUUAUUUAAUAAGGGGACUCGGAUUUCCAAUUCAUCCGUUUCUCCGAGGUCUACUGGAGUUCUAUGGCCUCCAGCUACACAACCUCACACCUGCCUCCAUACUGCACGUUGCGGGCUUUGUGGCCCUCUGUGAGCUAUUCUUGGGCGUCGAGGCCCAUUUCGCACUGUGGAAGAGGUUGUUUUGCCUUGUGCCCCGCUCUCAGGAGGGGUCAAUUUAUCAAGUGGGCGGAGCCGAACUAUGGCGCAUCACCGGGACCGGAUACCUAUCCGGUACCCCUAAGAAGGCGUCCGAGGACUGGCCUUCGGAAUGGUUUUAUAUGGAUGACGUCCCCCUGCCAGACCCUGUGCGGAUCGGCCUCCCUGAGUUUAACAACGCUCCGUUAAAGAAACACCUGAGCUGGCGCCCACGGAAUCCUCAAAGGGAAACUGACAGGGACGUCCUUUACUUGAUGAGUCGGAUAAGAUUGUUGGCUCAUUCUGGAUUGACCAUGAUCGAGGUCAUGGCCACAUGCAUCACGCGGGGGGUGCAGCCGCUUCAGUACAGAGGCCACCCCAUGUGGGAUUUCAACAGGGAGGACGACGCCACCCGGUGCGGUCGCAAGGGACCAGAUUCGGCUGCCACUCUAACGAAGAUCUUAUCCACUUUGUACAAGGGAGAAGAAGAGGAAUUCAUCCGUGUCAACCCAUGGGGCGGAUUCUCCAUGUAUAGCCCUUCGAGUUGGGUAAGCUUACACUUUCACUUAUCUACCCGCUUUCGAAAUUCCCAUAAUUGAGUACUUAGUCUGGCGAUAUUAACGCAGGAGCUACGCCAGACGGUGAAGGAGAUCAACAGCCCUCCCCCACAGCCCGAGGACCCAGAACGGCCCCUCGAUCCGGAUUCCCAAGAGGAUCCGGACUUAUGUGUGGAAUUAAUUGAUGGGGUGUUUCAUCAAUUGAGUAAGGACAACACCUUAGUGGCCAUUACGGCCGACUAUCCUGGACUACUUCCAGCGUCAAAGGUAACCAAGACCGAAGUCCCUGUACUUUGAAGGAGAUCCAUCCAUGCCUUAUUUUGAAUGCUGUAAACCAAUAGUGUUUCGUUUUGUAGGGGAAAUCCUUGAGGCGGAGUGUCGGGCCCGCGGUGGCAGCCAACAAGGCCCGCUGAAGCCAGGCGGGCCAAAAAGAAGUGUGGACCAGAUCGAAACUCCGGUGCAACGGUACGACGUGCGAAUUUAACGCCUAGGGUUUAUGCCCUCAAGUCACGCUAACGCUCAUGUUCUCCUUAGGAAGAAGAGAGCCCGCCGGACUAUAUUCACCGGCCAGACUUCAAGGCCGGGUCUGGAAGCGGAGGCGGACACGGGGCGCGCGUCGGGCGUUCCUCCGACAGAGGAUGCAGACAGGCUAUCUGCCACCAAUUCAGAGGUGGAGAGUGCCAUGAACCAUAGACAUCGCCGGACUGUUCUUCAGGACGCAUGUUUUUUUCCAGAGACAUUGAACGCCUUUAAUAUGGGAGAUGCGUACCUCCGUGCCGCUCAAAAUGGUCUAGCCAAAGCCACAGAGCAGUAUGUAAAAUACAUACGGGUGAGUAAAUCUGAUGGUUAUAUAUGUCAGUAGCCCCCGAGACUUGAAAUAGUUAAGAUAACUGUUUUAAGGAUCAUAUGUUAUGCAGGGUCUUACAGAGAAGAACACGCAACUGUCUCAGGAGCUGGCAGAGUGCAAGGCCCAACUCGAGGCCACACUGGCCGCUUCAGCUAUUGCCAAGGGAACCCCCUCAGGUAAUAUAUGCUCUCAAAAAUAAUUCCGUUGUGAAGUGCGGCAUGUGUGCAAUUCUGACGAUAACAGUGCAGAUGGGGCCGGAGUAAAUCCGGACAAGAAACAACUCCUACGCCAACUAAAGGCUGGCGAGAGCGUGCUGACAAGGGUGAGGCAAGAGAAGAACAAACUUCAAGACGCCAAUACCCAGCUGGGCGAGGAACUAAAGGAUGUUCGUAUUCAACAGUCUGCUUCCGUAAAGGAGAAUCGGCGACUUCGACGCGGCAUUUUUAGUAAGUGCUUGAACGAAUUCUCGAAAAAAAAUGGGCGAGGAAGUCGAUUGACAGAGCUAUGUCUGUAGGUCUACUGACAGAUUGUCCUGCGGAGGAAAUGCCCGAUUCAACGGGGGACCUUCUUCCCGAGCUGUUGCAACUGCACGAACGAGUUCAGCAGGCAAUGCAGGGCGUCAUCCAGGCUAUGUGGCCAUCCCUCUCCGCGCCCGAAGGCCUUGGGGAGCUUGCAAAGAAGCUGGAGAGAGUGCGGCAGCGCUUCCAGUUGUGGAAGAUAUCGUCCUGUCGUCAAGGUGCCAGGGAGGCCUGGGCCAUGGUGAAGACUCGGUACACGAAGGCUGGCCCAAACCACAUGGCCGAGGUCGGCCCUAUGGGUCCUGACGGAAAGGAGAUCCCUGUCAGUUUAGUAUAUGGCCAGGUAGAGCUGGCUGCAAAGUAUUCUCAGCAGGACUAUAAAUUAGACCACCUGUUGGAUGGUAUUGAAGAAGAAUAUACCGAGUCGGAUUGACUCUAUAAUUUAAAAUGACAUGAAAAAUGCCUUCUAGCCGGAUUGUAGAUCGUUUGUCAUUGCGGGCCUUUUCGCUUCGACCUCUGGACCCUAUAGUCCGGAGUGUGUCCGAAUACCCUCUUGAUUAUGUAAGAACCGGGGCAUGCAUGGAGACAAGGCGUAGGGGUCAUAAUUGCUUUAGCAGACAAGUGCCCAACUAGUUAUGUUAUAUUACAUGGUUAGUAAGAAACAUCUUCCAGGGAGGAUAGUUCUGUUAGGGGUUCCUUUCCCUGGGAGGCAUGCCCUAAAGUGCAUGUCCGAACUGCUAAAAAGAGCAGAAAAAUCAUCUUUUAGUUCACCGACCGAAUAUUCCCUUGAGAACGCUAGCUUUCGGCUUCACCCAGUCUGAGGUACACAUCCGGCUGACCCAGCAGUAACAAUCACAGAGGUGCUCCCUUUACCACCUAGCCGAACGAACGGGAACGUAGGGGUAAGCACAGGAGCCAGGCAACCCAGCUUGGCCAAAACUUAAGUCAUAUCAAUGCAUAUAAUGGUGUAUAAAAGGUUCAUGCGGAAGUGCCACACAUGUUUUGGGCAUGAGGCCCGUUUAUAUAAACUUCUGAUAAAGAAGCCCCCAGGUAUGAUGAGCGCGGGUGGCGCGUCAAGUAUGUGCGGACAAUGCGCAAGCAAGCCCCUAAGGGCUUGGGAGAAAAAAAGGUAGGGAGAAGGAGAGAAAUGCCAGACAGCUAAUGUGAAAAAAUAAAAAGGGGACAGAGGAAGGAGACGAACACGGAGUCCGGCGCUAGGCGUAGAAUCUUCGUAGGCGUGCUGCGUUCCAUGGGUUCGGCUCGAGUUGGUUGUCCGAUGCGUUUCGCAGAUGGUACGCUCCACCAGUCAGUACUUGGUCAAUUAUGAAGGGAUCCUCCCAUUUGGGCUUUAGUUUGUCCUUUUUCUUGUCCGGCAGGCGUAGAACUAGUUCACCAACGUUAUAAGUUUUGGCCCGUACUUCUCUGCUUUGAUAUCUUCGAGCCUGCUGUUGAUAGAAUGCGGAACGGGCUUUUGCCACGUCGCGCUCCUCCUCCAAUGCGUCCAAGCUGUCCUGCCGAUCGAGCUCGGCUUCUCUUUCUUCAUACAUGUGCACGCGAGGUGAGUCAUGAAUUAUGUCGCAGGGCAGAACUGCCUCUGCGCCGUAUACCAUAAAAAAUGGUGUGAAUCCGGUAGUGUGAUUCGGCGUGGUCCGAAGCCCCCAGAGUACGGAGUCAAGCUCCACUACCCAGUGCGUGUUAGAUUCCUUGAGGGAUCGCACUAGUCUGGGUUUGAUGCCGCUCAUGAUGAGACCGUUAGUUUGUGGGUGAUAGACUGAAGCGUAGUCGAGCUUAAUGCCCAUGUUUUUGCACCAGAGUUUAACUUCGUCGGCCGUGAAGUUUGUGCCGUUGUCAGUUAUGAUGCUGUGGGGGACGCCGAGAAGAAAACGAGAAACGUUAAUGUUUAUUUGCUAAUUAAUCGUAUUGCAUGCAAUGAACUAACCACUGCAUGUCGUGUUUGAUAUCUUAAGUCAUUAAAAGCAUGCACACUCUUUAUCUCUUAUUGGUUGAUAUGUCAAGAAACAAGAAAAGAGGUAGAAGUUAAUGCACCGUGCCUAAGUGUUUUUGGAUUAUUUGGUUUUCGUAAGAUGACUUACACACCUAGAUGCACCACGCCUAAUUGUUUUGAGUAAUAUUUUAUCAGUUAAAUCUUUGGUCAAAAUUUAGCACAAAUUACAGUGGUGAGGAAUAAACCAGGACGGAGUAGUAGUUUAGAAGCCCAAAUAAAUGAGUGAGGCGCCUUAUUGUUACUCUCCACUUUGACUAAUCUUGUGGGAAAAGCUGGGGAAGCCGCCAAAAGAACUGGCCCUAGGAGUAGUAGCUACGGAUCGAGCGUGGGAGAUGAACCGGAGAAAGUAAAUGCAGAGAAAUGAAAUGCAAAAAAGACGGAGGGAUGUGAUGGUUGCUUGUCCGUUUAUUUUACCAGGCCAUUUAUUAAUGGGAGUGGUUGGGUUUUGUGAUAUGACGGCUUUACUGCCGCGCCACGAGCGAGGUGAGAGGUGAGACUCCCGUGCAGCGCCGCCCUCUACACUUGUACUACAUCGGUCGUGGUUUAUUAGUCCCCCAUUGAAUUUGACUGAAGAUUUAACUGACAAAAUGUUAGUGCAUGUCAACAAAAACUAUAUCGUUGGAUUCGUAUUUGAACAUAGUUUUGAAUGAUAUAAUUUUAGGUGACAUGCAUCAGUAUUUAUCGUACUAUAUAUAAUGUUAGUUCAAUUUUUGGUUGUACUAAUCUAUAGUAGUAAGGUUCCCGUGCGUUUCACCGAAGAGUGAAAUGCAUUGAUCGGGGAGUUGUUUAUUUUGACAAAGGAUGCGGGGGUCAUCUCAUGUGUAACAGGUAUCGAUAGGUUUCUUCGGAUAUUAUCUCAUCUCUAGAGCUCACAAACAUCCGGGUGAAAUAGAUAAAAAGGUAUCUUUUGCAAACAAAAGCGUUCAACUGUUCAACCUGCAUCCAAAACUUGUGAAGAAAUAACACUUAUUGUGCUUUGCAAGAAAUGAUCUUUAAGAAUUAGUUUUUGAGUAUUGAUUGUUAUACAUGUUAGCUAUAGAUGACAUGGCACUUUCUUAUAGUCAACAGUUGGCUAUACUAUUAAGUAAUAUUAACCAUGCCCUUAUACACCUAGACGGAUGGAUUAAAUCAGGAUGACUUGCAAGGGGGCAGAGGAGAUGUAAGAAAUGGUUCAUCGUAAGUCUUUCACCAGUACUGUAGUAAAAAUUCAUACAUGGAAGAUUCUAGACUAAACCAUAAACGGAUACACUUUUAUUCAUGCGCGAUACUCCAAUAGAGCAAGAUCCUGCAUGGAAGUCUCCACAUGCUUAGACAACGGAUUACAUUGAGCGAAGACUAAUGAUCAACAUUUAACUUGAUAAUGCGUUUUUUAGAAGAACAGGGAGGCUCCUCCCCGGUUCCAUUAUCAAAUGAAACCCAAAGUGUCUUACAUCAGCUCACUGAGAGGAGCAGUUCAAAGGAAGGACUGCGGCGAAAGCCACUCAAGUUUAACGACAAGCUUACAGAAUCAAAAGCGGCAAAGACACACGCCAUAAGCGCCCACACACACACUACAUGUUUUCUAAGUGCACUUGAUAAUGCGUAUGUCCAGGUGAACCUCCUUGGAGUCCCCGUGCACCGAGUCGGUGGGUAAAGGAUAGAACGGAUGCCAUGAGUUUUCCAAGUCCACAUUGGCGGGAUAGUCCUAGCUCCUCAGAUUCCAAGUCUGUCCGAUGAGGCCGGUUUCGCCGCCCACGUGACCCGGAGAGGUAGUAACAUUGACCUUGCACCCGUACACCUGCCUCGUGUCACUAUCAGCGUCAGCGGCAAUGCCCCUGACGCACGCUACAAAGACGGGGCGGCGGCGUGCGUGGGCCUCGUCGGUUCCCACGAUCAAGAGGAAGACGCUGCCGUCCUCCUCCGAGACUAGUAGGCGGCGGUGAUCCUCCAGCGACUCCGGCAUGGUGAACCGGUAGCACGUGUCGUACUUGAUGUUCUCUGCCAAGGGCCAGCAGUGACUGCUGCACGCAUCCGUGAGGUGAUGCACCAUGCCCGCCGGCGAGCUAUAAAACGGCAUCGGGCACUCAUAGCAGUAGACGAAGGGCUCCUUGGAGGCAUCGACCAGGCCGUCCAUGAAACGGGAGUGGCUGUAGGGGACGUUGCGCCAGUUGAAUAUGUGAUCAAGUUACUACGAGAUUUAAUCCGAAUAAGCACAAAAUAAAUCAUGACGGCUAUAACAGAGAUGAAACUAAUCAUGUGGACUAGCAUAGUAGUAGGAUACAGAGUAUAAACAUGAAUUCUACCACGAUUUUGAACAGGAAGGACAGAAACACAUACGGUGCAACGGGAGCAGCACCGUUGGCGUUGAGAUUGUUGCCCAUGUCAUUGAGGAAGAGGUUGCCGAGGUUGGGGAAGAAGUCAUCGUCGGUGAAGUCGUGGCUGCCAGCAGUCGCGAGAGUGCGCUCCCCAGAUUUCAACAGCGCCCGCCGAAUGGAGCGCAGGAGGGAGUGGCUGUAGGGGGGACGUUGCGGCCGCCGAAUGGAGCGCAGGAGUAGCACACGAAGCAGUAGAUGGUGUCCUUACUAGUACUCCCUAGUCUCUAUCUAUCUAUAUCUAUAUAUAUCUACUCUUAUAGAAAACCGAGUUGGUGAUGAUGGUGUGCCGUGCAAUGCACGGGUAUCUUGCUAUUUUUUUGCAUAUAAGUCCAAACACCACGUAGACACGGUCUUUGAGCAUGGUUCGUAGUCGUUCCACGAUCGGACAUCCAAGUUUGUAACUAUUUUAGAUUAGAAUAUACUACUCCUCUGGUGCUAGUAGUAGAGCAGAGUCCUACUAUACUACUCUACUCUAGCAAGCUAGGGCAUAGUACUAUAGUAGGUACUGUAGGGAGUACCAGUACUGUGAUCACUCAAGCAAGUUGCCUGGCAUUGAUAUGACCCUACGCUGCUGGUAUGUGUCUCGUAAGUCAAGCGGCGUGCUAUAGUCAUCAUCACCUGUCCACUUCUCGUAGCACAUAUUCGCUUCUCCAUCUUUGUCCGCACAUAAUCUCGUCCAAGCUUCCAUCCCCGCUAAGGCGCCUCCCCCCCCCCUCGUCCGAAACCCAAGCACUAACAAUGGCAGAACCAAGCAGCGUCCGCCGAAAGAGUGGCUGGAAUUCACUCCCCACAGAGGUAAUCAAGAUCAUUGUUUCGCGUGUGGACAAUCUCAGUACCAUGCCGCUCGCCGCGUGCUCGUCGGGGCUGUACCGUUUACUCAAAGCCCUCAGGCCGUAGCUUUUUAAUCCAGCUCCUUGCAUAUUGAUGCCGCCUGAUCUUCAGAAACGGCGUGUCAUGCAACAUAACAAUCGUAGGGUGGCGAGCAUCAACCCCCUUCAUUGUGAUCCGAUCCUCGUCAGCCUCAGCUACAUUAACGGUAUGUACUGGGUCGGCAUGAACACGUCUUGGAUGGUGCUCAUCGACAGUCGCGGCAGCUGGAUGCUCGUGGAGGUCUACACCCGGCGAUUGAUCCCCCUUCCUUCGAUUAACACUGCACUGCUUUGGCACCGCGACCCAGAAUACUCGGAAUCUUACAGUAGCCAACAUGAUACCAAGUUUGAUUUGCUCAAGGUUGUAAUCUGCCAAGUGCCCACAAGAUCUGGGAAUUAUAAAGAUUUCAUGCUAAUUGCGUUCUUCAACUGUGGUCUCGCCUAUCUGACAGGUCACUGCGGUAAGUGGAUAAAUCUGCACGUCCAUCGCAGGAUCAUACAUCCUCCAUGGUUCUCUGAUGCCAUUGAACACAAGGGCUUCAUUUACGCUGUCGACUCCGUCUAUGGCUGGACGUAUUGCUGGCCUACUCCAGUCAUCACUACAAACGGUUGUUACAGCAGUAUGUUACUUUCCUAUGAUAUCAUGAUGGCUUGCUUAUAUUACUGUCAACAUUUACUGAAAAAAUAUUCAUGCUCAUAACAUGUUGUUCUUAAGAUUGACUAAAUCAAGAGCCCUUUUUUAUUUGACUCCAACUUGAUAUGAUGUUGUAGGCCGCCUGGUGUCCCUACCCUUCCUAAUCCCAGAACCUUUCAAAGAAAAGCCGCAUGGCAGUUGCAGGUGGUUCCUAGCUCGAUCAGACGACGGCGAAAGAUUGAUGAUCGUUCGCACGUACUGGACAUGUUGUUUCGCGGAAUACAAUCACAGUCACUGCAAGGUCUUUGAGCAGGAUCCCAGCUUCUCUGGGCCUUCAGGAAUUUUUGACUGGAGGCUGGUAAGUAGCCUUGGUACACGCUCUCUGUUUGUCAGACUUAAUUAUCCAAUUAACCAGGAGAUAACCGACGGCAAGGAUCAUGAUGGCAGCGUGGUUUCGUUCAUCAGGCAAAACUGUGUGUACACAGCGUACCAUGCGUCUAUGCAUGCACCAUACCCUGAUAUGUGCCGCCACGCUCUGCAGCCCAAAGUAGGAGAGAGGGUCGCAAGUAUCAGACUUCGACCUGCUGGCUGGAGUUUCCCCCGUCAGGCACCCAUCUGGUUCAAGCCGUCAGCCAAUCUCCACAACCUAAUAAAUAGUAACGUCUAACUGAGCCAGUUAGUUAGAUGCGUACACUUGGUGUAGUAGGAUCUUUAUUUAGUUUGAUGCAUACACUUGUUCUUUUUUGGUAGCCCUUUUGUAAUGAUGGCUGAUGUUUGGUUUGGAAGAGAGAGCUGCGUCUUCACUCUUCUGGCCUGCUUACUGCUUCUGUUGCACCCCCAGCCCUGGUUGUUGCUGCUGCUGUUUUCAAUGUACAAUCAGUAGUAUAUUUCGUCUAUUGGUUGAAUAUAAAUGUGUUGUUAGAACGACAAACACACUGUUUUGGAAGUCGUUGCAUGGUUCGAUCCUUUAGUGCCCUGUAUCGUACGUAGCUCAUACUAUUUUUCGUAUGGAACACAUUUUCCACUUGUUGAUAACAUGCAGCCCACUAAUGAAGGCCCAAUAGAGAAGCCCAUAAUUAACUGGAAGGGACGCUCUCACAUGAAUCCGGCCCAGGUACAUGCUCAUGGUCCCCUAAACAUAAAUAAGUAAAUAAAUAAAUAAAGUUAAAUGCUCAUGCACCAGUUCUUUGGGAAAAUAGGUAGCCCAGUAUUUCUUUUUGAAGAAUACCAAACCUAGGCCUAUUUGUUUUCUCCGAAUUACCGGGCUACAAAUCUUUCAAGACGAUCAAAUGGGAUAUUAGUUUUUUUUAAAUUUUGUUCUUCACUGAUAUCUUAUACGUAUUUUAUUGGAUUUAACAUGACAUAGUACUAACUUAUUUUUAAAUUUGUUUUAGUAUGACUAUUAUUUUUUGGAUUAAGAAUAUUUCUUCCCCAGCAAAAAAUUUCCACAUAUUUAGUUAAUUUUUUGACCCUGGUACUGACCAGAAAAUGGCUGGCAAUUCUAAAAAUGGAAAACGGGCUGCAAUAAAUUCCAUAUGAAUUAGAAAAUGAGUAAAAAUUAUAAAAAUAAUAGCAAAUGGACUGUACACGCCACAGAUUUCAAGGCUGACAUGUUUACGCAAGGCUUUGUCAGUGAACACACGAUUCUAGCCGUCGUGCUUCUUCAAUCUCUGAUCUUUCUGCUCCAGCCGCCUAAACUAGCGCCGGCGGGACUGCCUGCUCCCUCCUCUUGUGGCCCGCUGUGAUGCCGCGUAGGCUUCCCCGGCCCACCCUACUCCCUCCGCUGGUCUGGCCGCACGCAAUCAACUGCCUCCUUAUUACGCAAAAAAAAUGAUUCCUCCCACUAACAUCUGGGGCGCACCGGUUGGGAGGCUGACUUGUGGGCCUACUACGUUGACGCGUAUGCACGGCUUGUCAACUUAGUCAACAAACGAUUCUAGAAGCAGUAACCGUUGGAUUUGAAUCGAACGGUCAUGUUGCUUCUUCAAUCGCUGCUCUUCUUGCAACGGCCGCUCAAACCAGCGUCGGGGAGACCGCCUGCUCCUACCUCCAGUGGCCGGCUGUGCUGCCGUUGAGGCCUCAUCGCCCCCUACUACUCCGACCGCUAGCCAGGCCCUGCGGCGACGGCAGACUCACACCGUAGCCAAACCAGUGAACCCUGGUACUCCUCUCCGUGUGGGCAUCCACUGCCGCGUCUUCCCCGGCUCCGCGUCGUCCCCUUCCUAGGCCUCGCCGUUGUCCACCGCCAUGGUGCUCUCGGGGCGGCAUGGUCAAUGUGGUCAACGACAUUCCAUCGGGAAAAUACUGUACGUGUAGAGGCUGACAGCUGGGUCCACGGCCACAGCCCAGUUUUUUUGUGAUUUGCUAAGUAAUUCGCUUUGUCAGGCCUGUUGGGCUGCAAAUCUUUCAAGACGAGGAGAGCUUUCAUUCGGCUGGCCGAGAAAAUGGCCCAUCAGUAAUGAGAAAUGGGCUGUACAAUUUUAAAACACAUCAAACCGGCAGUUAGUUUCAAAUAUCUUUUUUUUUAUUUCGAGAUUUUAAAUUACAUUAAUUUUUAUGCGUGGAGAAUUUGUUGGAUUUUAUAUUGAUAUACAUUUAUUUUUAAAAUCAGUUUGAAUGUGAGUCGAAAUUUCGGGAUUAAAAACAGUUUGGACCGCACCGAAAUAUGCAAAAUUUCGUAUAAGUUUUUAAUUGUGGCCACAAUAUGGGCUGUAAUGCUAACAAAAAGAAUAUGGGCUCCAAAAAAACCUUCAGAAUUAGCAAAUGGGCUGUAAAUUAUUAAAAAUAAUGGCAGAUGGGUUGUAUGCUAUUUUUCAUAGAUUUGAGGCUUUCCUAAAAAAAGGUUGACGCACAAGCAGUGACUGUUAGAUGGCCAUCCAACAGCGGUCGUGCUUCUUCAAUCUCUGCUCUUCCUGCUUCAGUCGCUCAAACAAGCGCCGGCGGGACUGCCUGCUCCCUCCUCCCCGCGGCCGGCUCUGACAGCUCGGACCCACCAGCUAUAUCUUUGCACGCAAGGAAGUGCUCCUUCUUACGCACAAAAAAAUGAAUACUCCCCCUGUUAGCUGGGACCCAGUAUAGUGGCAGGCUGAUUUGUGGGCCUACUAAGUUGACGGGGACGGAGGGCUUUGUCAACUUAGUCAAUAUGCACGAUUCUAGCUCCAGUGACCGUAUGAUGUCCAUCCAACGGCCAUAGUGUUUCUUCAACCUCUGGUCUUCUUGCUCCAGCCGCCCAAACCAGCGCCGGUCGUGCCUCGUGCUCCUGCCUCCCGUGGCCGGCUGCAAUGCGGCGGAGGCCUCACUGCCCCUACUACUCCCACCGCUGGCCAGGCCAUCCCUCUACUCACCCACACCCCCUGUUAUUCUGCGGCGACGGCAGCCUCACACCACAGCGAACCAGUGAACCCUCGUACUCCUCUACGCGUGGGCAUCCACUGUCACGUCUUCCCCGGCUCUGCGUCGUUCCCUUCCUAGGCCUCGCCGUCAUCCACCGCCCUGGUGCUCUCGGCGCGGCGUGGUCAACGUGGUCAAGGAACGGCUUCCAUCGGACGUGGACUGUACAUGGAGAGGCUGACAGCCGGGUCCACGGCCGCAGCAAGGAAGUGCCUCCUUAUUACGUGAAAAAUAAUUAUUCCUCCACCUGACAGCGGGGACCCACCAGACGGGCCACCAUAUUUCCCUAAAAAACGUUUCCCACCUGACUGCUGGGACCCACCAGCUACACCUUCACACGCAAAGAAGUGCGUCCGGGCAAAAAAAACGAUUCGCCCCCCUGACUGCUAGGACCCACCAGCUACAUCUUCGAACGCAAGGAAGUGCGUCCGGGCAAAAAAAACGAUUCGCCCCCCUGACUGCUAGGACCCACCAGCUACAUCUUCGCACGCAAGGAAGUGCCUGACAGUCGGGACCCACCUGGUCGAAGCGUACGUAGUGUUGUCAUUCUGGUCGCGGACGUGUACGUACAUAUUGGUCGAUGUAGAGGUGCACACGUGUCGUAGAUGUAGAGGCGCGCACGUGUCGUAGUAGAGGCGCGCACGUAGCAUGUACACGUACGUACAACGGCGAGGGUGCAAGAAAGAAAAUACGGCCAUAUACGUACAUACGGGCAGGGUCUCUAACGCCUAUCGCGCAUACGUACAUGGCUGGGUCGGAACGGAGAAACAGCGUCGUCGUCGUGUUCAUGGGGAGCCAACCGGCUGGGUCAGAAUGGAAUGCGUGGUCGUGUUCAUCGGGAGGGCUUGGACGGAACAGGCGAUGGAAACGAGGCUUGGCGUACCGCACAACAGAGGAAACGGCCUUGUGUUCGACCGACCACAUUCGAAACGGGGUCCUGUUGAUCGGGAGGGGCCUGGCAUACCGCAAAACGGAGGAAAUGGACCUCCUAUGGUCGAAAUAGGGGUCCUGUUGAUCAGGAGGGGUGUGGCGUACCGCAAAACGGACGAAACGGACUUGUGUUGGAGCGCUACGGUCGAAACGGGGGGGAGGGGUGUGGCGUACCACAAAAUGGGACUCCACGGGAUACUGUUCAUCUCCACCGUCGACCUCCUCCAGCCUCCAUGGGCUACCGUCGACCUCCUCCAGCCUCCACCGCGCGCUACUCCACCGGCUACUGUUCAACCACCCCUCCACGGGCACCCCUCCACCGUCUACUGUUCAUCCAGCCCUCCACACCACGGGGUCCUGUUCAACCACCCCUCCACAGCCACCCCUCCACCGUCUACUGCUCAUCCAGCCCUCCACACCACGGGUUCCUGUUCAUCCAAAGGCAACGCCACCGCUCACUAUUCAUCCAAACCCCCCGCAACACUCACUGUUCAUCCCAGAGGCAGCAUCGAUCGGCUUCAGUUAGCAGCAGUAGCGAAGGAAUCUCUCCAUCGGGUUCAGUUAACAGCCAUCGAUCGAUCGCUCGGGUUCAGUAACGCGUAGCCUGCAGUGCAAUCGCUCGGGUUCAGUUAGAUCCCAAUGCCUCGCUCGGCUUCAGUUAGAGCCAAUGCCUCGCACACACGCGCGUACGUAUGAGAGAAACGCGCAUCGGUCUCCCACCAUAACCGGCAACUCCUCGAAAUUUUCCUCCCCCUCGCUUCUACCACGGUUUUUUCCGUCAUGGACGGCCCAAAGAAUGUCAUGCAGCUGUGUCUCCGGCCCGCCCAGGAUGAAAAGCCCAUUUUCCGUCAUGAUUUUUUGUCAUAGAAGUAGGAGCCCACCACAUCUAAGAUGAUACCGGGUUUUGUCACAAUUAUCGUCAUAGAAGUGUCAUAUGUAUAACAGAAAAAAAAAUCGUUCGGCCCAAAAUGUCACGGAUGUGUCUUUUUUUUGUAGUGCUAGCCCCCUCCGGUGUCUAUAUAAACCGGAGGGUUUAGUCCAUAGGACAACAACAAUCAUAAUCAUAGGCUAGCUUCUAGGGUUUAGCCUCUACGAUCUCGUGGUAGAUCAACUCUUGUAAUACUCAUAUCAUCAAGAUCAACCAAGCAGGAAGUAGGGUAUUACCUCCACCGAGAGGGCCCAAACCUGCGUAAAACAUCGUGUCCCCUGCCUCCUAUUACCAUUAGCCUUAGACGCACAGUUCGGGACCCCCUACCCGAGAUCCGCCGGUUUUGACACCGACAGCUGCCACAUAAUCACUUUGCGGCUUGACACAACACUGAUCGAGGACGUGAGUCAUGGAGGAGUGGUCGGUGAGGUGAUCAGGCCUUCGCAAGUCCCGGCAGGCCCUGCCGGGACGCCUUGGUCAUUUUCUUCUCGGGGUGGCCUCACCUGCCCGGCUAGGGGGGCCUCUUUCUUGAUGAUAUCUUGCUUCUCUGGCUUGGCCUUGGUCCCUUCGAUCUGCUGGUUUGUUCUUCGAAUCUCUUGGUUUCUUGUACUCCGUCUUGAACUGGUGCUUCAAUCUUGAUCUUGUGCCUGUGCAUAGUCAGGGCAACAGACCCAGGGUUUGUUGCACCGACAGAAGCCUUGGGGCCUGCCCUGAGCGCGUUGUCGAGCAUUGUUAGGGUAGGGCCUAACAAGUGCACAGGCAGAGUUGCUGAAGAGGCUGGUCUCUUGAGAUCUUCUUUGCUUCUUCAUUAGUCUUGAUUCUAGGCCUGUUUAUGGUUUCCCCGCGCGUCGUGUAAAGCCAAUAGUGGUGGGGCCGCUCGAGUAAUGGCCCGUGAAUGACUUUAACGCACGGCGUAGAAGUGGCCAAUUCACUCUUCCCGCCAUGCCCUUAUCCUUAUCCAUGUAUGAUGCAUGCAUUGCAUGGGGUAGGUAACGGAGGCGCGUGGUGCAGGAGAGCAUAAUGGCGAGGGCCCGACGUCUUUGAAUUGGUGGAGGGGGGCGGUGGUUACUCAUGACGGAACCAACACCCAGCUCCCCUCCCCUGCUUGCCUAUAAAAGGAAGAGUGGGGGAGAAGCGGAGGCCUUCAUCCGCACUCCUCUUGUCUCCUCCCUUGCUCUGUCUUGGAUAUGCUGGGAAGGAGAGCCCGUGGCUGGCCCCGGGCUUUAGCUUUGGGUGGAUGAUGCCGAGUGAUGGUGUUAGCGAUCGGGGAGUAAGCUUGGUCCAAGUCCAAGGUGAAGGGCUCAAGAUCAUUGGAAAUCCCAGUACGGCCCCUCUCCUUGGAACUGGGGUUGAUGUCGACGAGAGGCGUGCCUUCCUGUCCGCCAAGGAGGGGAGCGGCAUCCUUCAAGCCCCUUGACCGUCUUGGCCACUCGCCGUCUCUCCUGGGAAGGCGUCUGGCUGGAGUCUUGGCGCUUCCCGGGGGCGAUGGUGAUGGAGAGAAAAUGAGGGAAGGCGGAGGUAGCGAGUGGCAGAGGGUCAGGUCGAAGUACGAUGGCAUGGAUGCCUUUGCCUCUGACCUGCGACCUGCCGCCUCGUCUUCCGUCCUUCCAUUCCCUCCCCGUCACCAUAAUCAUCGACCUCUUUGGGCUAUAGACAGGGAGGGAUGUCUUCUUGGCGCCAGAGCUCGAGUCAGGUCUUCUCGCUGGUGACGGCAGUAGGGGGUGCUCCGCCCCACUCAUACGCUUCUCCUCCACACAUUCGCCAGACCCGGUCUCGUACGGCCACCUCCGGGCGGGCCGCGACGGGACCGGGACGGGUUCCCGCCUGGGAGCUUUUCUCGUCUUUUCCUCCUUCCACCGUAGUGCCUGGGGGAGGGAAAAUGAAAAGAGGAGAUCAUGGGGCACUUAUCUUUUUUCAAUCUUAAACUUGUAGGCACUUGCCAAAUUUUAAUUCAAAUAAUGUAAUCUCUUGAGUCCACGUUCAUGUUCUGUAAUGCUUGUACUUGUAUCAGCAUGUUAAUGAAAAAGAUGAACCUUGCCGGGGACCCAUGCAUGUAUAUGUCCAUGCAUAGGCGAGAUGCCUCUUUAAUGUAAAUAAACGAGUUUUUCGGGCAGGCAAUCUUGCUGGAACCCUUUUUGUCUGCUGGAGAGCCACAUCUGCCGGGUUACAGACAAAGGGACCAACCCCCCGCCAACUUCCCAUUACCAAAGGCCACUGCGACCAUCCUGACCGAAGCAGCGUUCGAGACAGGAAUGGGAGCACCUAAGUCUAAGAAAGAGUGGCGAGGUUUUCUAAUGCAUAAGUUAUAGCUUACAUAACACAAAUGGACAAGAGGUAGAACUUAUCUGUUUGGCUUGUCGGGGAUAGCAGUGUCCGGCAAUCUUCUCAACUCCUUGUAGAAGCCAAGUUCACGGCAAGAACCUGCAGCUUCAUGCAGAUGAGAAUGAACGCAUGAUGUGAUCCUAUCUAUAUGCAUAUGUAGAUGCUCAAUAAAUGCUUAUGCAGUGAUCUGGAAUGCUCAUGCAUGCAUGCAAUCUAGGUUGGGGCCCCCCUACAAGGCUUCUUUAUUUUCUCUUGCACGGGGUCAUCGCCUCGGCUUUGUACAAGGGGUUACAUGUAGCUGAGGCAAGGCCUGUACAAAUGGGUGGCUGCCGGGCCUGCCCGGCACCCUCGCGCCUUGUGGGUAGAACUUGCAGAGAUGCUCAAUAUUCCAUGAGUUUCGCAACUGAGUGCCAUCUCCGGUCUCCAGAAGGACUGCGCCAGGUCUGGUGACUCGUACUACCCUGUAAGGGCCUUCCCACUUUGGUGAUGACUUGUGUGUACCCUUGGUGGACUGAACGCGCCUAAGGACAAGGUCACCUUCCUCAAAACACUGGGCAUGAACCCUACGGCUGUGAUAGCGACGCAGGGCUUGCUGAUAGCGUGCAGCACGCGUAGUAGCCUGGAGACAGUUCUCCUCGAGUAGCACAACGUUGUCACGCCGGUGCUGAUCUUGCAUGACUUCAUCAUAGGCAAGCACUCGAGGCGACCCAUAAAUGAGUUCCGUGGGGAUAACUGCUUCUGCCCCGUAGACUAGGGAGAAGGGAGUCUGCCCGGUAGCUCGGUUUGGUCUCGUUCUGAGGGACCAGAGAACCACCUACAGCUCCUCGAUCCACCGCCUGUCGUGCUUCUACAGCGUAUCAAAGGUUCUCGUCUUGAGCCCGCGUAGCACUUUAAUGUUCGCCCUCUCAGCUUGUCCAUUGCUCCGGGGGUGUGCCACAGAGGCAAAUGAGAUCUGGCAUCCGAGGGCAUGAACAUAUUGCAUGAAGGCGCGGCUCGUGAACUGGGUGUCGUUGUCGGUGAUGAUCCUAGCCGGAACUCCAAAACGACACACCAGAUCUUUCAAGAACUUGAUAGCUGACUAAGCAGUCACCUUUCUCAUGGCAGUCAUUUCCGUCCCCUUUGUAAACUUGUCGAUGGCAACGAACAAGAAUUCAAAGCCCACAAUUGCUUGGGGGAAGGGGCCGAGGAUAUCAAGCCCCCAGACUGAAAAUGGCCAUCAUAGAUGGAUUGUCUGAACCGCUUGGGCAGGCAGGUGGGUUUUCUUGGAAUGGGACUGGCAGGCUUCACACUUAGUGACUAGCUCGACCACAUCUUGAAGGGCUGUGGGCCAAUAGAAUCCUUGCCGGAAUGCUUUCCCAACUAAUGCCCUUGAUCUAAUGUGGGAGCCACACAUUCCUUUGUGUAUCUCAGCCAGCAGUUCCUUUCCUUCUUCCCGGCAGACGCACUUCAAUUUCACACUGUUAGGCCUCCUUCUGUACAGAGAGUCAUCGACAAACUGAUACAUACUAGCCCUCCAGGCUACUUUUUCAGCUUCAUCUUGGUCGCUGUGAAGCUCUCCGGUUUGGAGGAAGCGGACAAUAUGCCUUGCCCAAGUUGGAGUCUGUGGCUCGGCAACAAGGACUAACGACACCUCCUCUCCUGUGGGAGUACCAGCCUCGUAUGCAGGGUCCAUGGGCCCGGCUGGAGGGGGUGGUCCAGCAGGCUGCGAGGAGUUGUUUCUGGCAGGGUCUUUGCCGGGAGCGAAAGACUCUACCGGGAGAGGCUUACCGGUGUCCAACUUUCUACUUUUCUUGGCCAUUGUUGCUAGGGAUACAGAGGGCUGAGUAAGACGGAGCACAAAAGUUCCUGGUUCCACGGGAAGCUUCUGAGCAGAACACUUUGACAGAUGAUCAGUUAUGUUGUUUUCUGCACGGGGUACAUGCUCAAUUUGCAAUCCGUCAAAGUGCUCCUCCAAUCUUCUCAUUUCCUUGAUGUAUGCCUCCAUCAAUGGACUUUCAUAAUCCUUGUUGACUUGUCCCACCACCAGCUGUGAAUCUCCUCGAAUGAUCAGCUUCUUAAUUCCCAAUUUGGCUGCAAUCCUGAGCCUAGCAAGGAGCCCUUCAUACUGUGUUGUAUUGUUGGUUGCUUUUUUCUAGGCACAAUGCAUUUGGACAAUGUACUUCAAGUGCUCCCCGGAGGGGGCGACAAGAAGCACGCCAACCCCUGCACCUUGCAGGGAAAAGCACCAUCAAAAUACAUAAUCCAUUCCUGGGUUGAUUCCUUGCCGGGGAUAACUGUCUCAGUCACCUCCUCAUUAGGGGUUAGCAUCCAUUCUGCAAUAAACUCUGCCAAUGCCCUGCUCUAGAUAGUUGAUCUGCUUUCAAACUUGAAACCAAAGCUGGAUAACUCCAAAGACCACUCCACUAUUCUGCCGGUAGCCUCUGGGUUUUAGAGUAUCCGUUGCAAUGGGAAACGAGUGACAACCGUGAUCUCAUGGGCUUGGAAGUAGUGGCGCAGUUUCCUUGAGGUCAUGAUGAGACCAAAAAUCAACUUUUGCAUGCUAGAGUACCUCGAUCUAGCCCCUUGUAGCAAGGAUUUGACGAAGUAUACUAUGCACUGCACCACUUUCUUCCUUGCCACGUCCUUGGGGUUGCCCUCGUUGACGUGCUCACUGCUGUCCUGAUCCUUGUCUGACUCUGCCGGUCUCUGCUCACUCUCUUCCUCAUUCACUUCUUGCUGUGUUACCAAGGCUGCACUGACCACUUGGUUGGUUGCCGCCAAAUAUAGUAGAGGCGGCUCCUGGGGUUUGGGAGCAACCAGGGUAGGCAUAGAAGACAGGUAGGCUUUCAACUCUUGCAAAGCUGCAUCUGCUUCUGGGGUCCACUUCAUAGGACAUGCCUUCUUCAAAAUUUUGAAGAACUGUGGGGCACACUCGAAAGACUUGGAGAUGAAUCUGCUUAGCGUGGCAACACAUCCCGUCAGGCGCCUCGCAUCUUUAACUGUCCUUGGCCCUUGGAUCUGCUCAAUGGCCUCGAUCUUGUUGGGGUUAGCUUUGAUCCCUCUACUUCUUACUGCGUUUCUUGCUCUUCUUCUGACUAGUUAAUUCAUCAUCGUCCUUUGAACCAACAUUGAUGUGAUCUUCCUCUCUAGGAAAUUUCCUUCCCUCCUCCAUCCGAGCACACUUAUCCACUAGGGUGUACAGAUCCUUCACGGUCUUGGGCAACCGUACAUUCAUCUUAGAACGGAUCAGCUGAUUGCGCACAUUGGACUGGAAGGCAGCUAUCACAGCUGCUGGAUAGAUAUUUGGAAUAUUUCUAUGAACUUUGCUGAAUCUCCGUGAAUACUUAUGGAGGGUUUCUCCUUCCUUCUAUUGGAGAAGUUGCAGGUCGCUAGGUCAGCCCGGCUCCUGGUGGCCACCAGUGAAAGCACUGAUGAACUCGUGGCACAGGUCUGCCCAUGAUGAAACGGAGUUUUCCGGCAGGUGCAUCAACCAAGACCUCACAUUGGACUUGAGGGCCAAAGGGAAGUAGUUAGCGAACACCUUCUCAUCUCUUCCCCCGGCAGCCUGAACAUCGAUGGUGUAGAUGCUCAGGAACUCCACCGUGUUCAGCCUCCCGUCAUACUUCUUAGGUAUCUCUGGCUUGAACAUGCAAAUGGACGGCCACUGGACUUGCCGCAGCUCGCGGGUGAAGGCGGGGUAGCCAACCUCGAAAGGUAGGGGGCGCCAAUAUCGAGCGCUAGCUCGCCGACUCGGGACCGUCGCACCCGUCGGUCCGGAGGAGAUCGUCGUGGCGCUGCUCGACAACACACACGUCUCCUCUCCGCCUAUCUUCUGAGGCUCAUCGUUGACCUGGACGUGCUCGAGGGUCAGAGGAGGCCAUCGAGACGUCAUCAGGGUCUUGAUUUGGUCACGCUCGUGUUGGCUGCCGUGGUGGGGACUGCAUCGUGGGGACGACUCCCUUCCUACGGGCACCAACAUGGGUCGUCGCCGUCGCUUGGGGAGGCCGUGGCGGGCCAGCUCGUCGUGAGCCCUCGGCUUCGGCGAAACCAAGCAGACUUUGGAUGGUGGCACGCCAUUCGUCUAUCUGCUCGACCGCCGGCGGAAACCUCAGCAGCAGCUAAGCCCGUACGAUGGCCUCCGAGGCUGUGCUUGUCAUAGAUGAUGAUGAAGUCGACCGCAUCGUCGCUCGGCUCCUGACAGAGGCAAUGGUGGCAGCAUUGCGCCCUAGCUAUUGCGGUGUAACCACCUGGAUGGCAAGGUGGUGAGAUAGAGGCGCUCGAGGGCCAGCGGCUCUGUUGGGCGCAGCAGCUCGGUCGACCCGCCUAGGGGAAAGCGCACGCAUAGCGGUCAUUCCUGUGGCAGGGGCGGUCGGAGGGCGGCGGUUCGCCCCAGAUCGAGCGCCAUCACUG
rnacentral:lncRNA from 1 species